GAAAGACAAUUCAAUGGCCUAGUUGAUGUCUACAGGAAGACACUGCAAUCUGAUGGCAUUGCUGGCCUUUACCGAGGAUUCAAUAUUUCAUGUGUUGGAAUUAUAGUUUACCGUGGUCUUUACUUUGGAAUGUACGACUCCUUGAAGCCUGUGGUUCUUACAGGGAAAUUACAGGUAUGUGGUUUAACUUGAAUGUACGACUCCUUGAAGCCGGUGGUUCUUACAGGGAAAUUACCGUGUUCUUGGAUCUGAUUCUGACUCAUUGCGUUUUUUACGAUUUCAGGAUAGUUUCUUUGCUAGUUUUGCUCUAGGUUGGGUGAUCACCAAUGGUGCUGGACUUGCGUCAUACCCUAUUGACACCGUUCGCAGAAGGAUGAUGAUGACCUCUGGAGAGGCUGUCAAGUACAAGAGCUCCCUGGAUGCCUUCUCCCAGAUCCUGAAGAAGGAGGGUGCCAAGUCUCUGUUCAAGGGUGCAGGUGCCAACAUUCUCCGUGCCGUUGCCGGUGCCGGUGUGCUCGCCGGGUAUGACAAGCUGCAGCUGAUUGUUUUCGGCAAGAAGUACGGUUCAGGUGGUGCUUGAGAUUGUUUUUGGCAAGAAGUACGGUUCGGUGGUGUUCCAGUGGCGCAUCCACCUAAUAAUCUGAUGGUGACGAUAACUUAUCUGAGAUUUAUUUCUUAAGCCUUUCCAUGCCUUUUUUUUUUCCAAGUUCUGUCGAAAUAAUUUAGAUUCCUCCAACAAAUAUUUGGAGCAAUAUUUUCGAGAACAUUUUAAUUGGACCAUUGUUUGCUAUUUAAUGCCUUAACAGCAAUGUUACCGGUGCUGGCGGCGACGGAUUUUGUUUGAUGUUUCAGAUUGUUGUGUUUUGCAUUUGGCAGAAAUAGAUUUAUGGGUAGAGACAUAUCUUGGAUUCAUUUCAAAGAAUUCUGACACUUGCAGAAGCUAAUAGUAACUUUGUAUCUUAUCAUGCAUCACGAUCAAGGUUUUGUAGCCCGAACCCGAGCGAACCAAAGCGGACCGCUCACAAACAGACCGGUCUUUACGGGCAGGCGUCAUAUUUAUGCGGCUGGAACUUCCAUUACCAAAGACCUUGCAAUUCGACUCCCUUUCACUCACUCGCUGCGGUCCACCUGCAACAGAAUCAAGAAGACGCCCAACUUCAUCCGGUCCUCCGUCUCGUCUUCCCCCGCCAUCUAUUCCCUCCUCUCCUCUCCUCCCCUCCCAUCUGCUUCCUCAAGGCCGCCUCCAACUCACCAUCACUCUCCGAACCCAGACGGUGACUAAGAUGCCACCUUCGGCCCACGUCGCUGCCCAUACCAUGCCGGCCGCCCAUCAGAUGCUCGAUGAAUUGUGCGACGUAUGUAUGCUGCAUUCUGCUCACCGUAAGUGCGUCCUAAUUAUCAUCGAGUCUUCGUACGGCUAGCUCACCUCAGUGCACCGUUGCAGAUUACGUUACGUUGGCGCAGAACGGAGAGCGUCGAGCGUCUCUAUGAAUCUUCAAGUGUUGGGAGGUUUCGGUGAGUCUUAUUUUCCCCAUCUUUCUCGAUCGAUCUCAUCUGCGCAUCUGUUGCGGUGGUAAACAAAAGGCACAGUUGAUGACCAAUUAAAACCGCUUACCUUAUUCUUUUAACUCGCUAUUGAGUGCCCAAUGAAAUUGCAGGUCGCAGCCAAAUGAUAUCACUCACCGACGACCUGCUCUUUGACCGGCCACGCCUCGGAGGAGCAUCGAUGGUUCGCAAGAUUCUGCAAUUACCAGCGCUCAUUUCUCAGCAUUGGAAAAGUAAGCAAGACAAUCUAACUCAUGCAAUUACACUGUUCAUAACUCUUCUCUUACCAAUGCAUUUCAUUUCAUAUCAUAUUCAAAGAUUUUAAUGGUGAGCAUGAUAACAAAUUCGAAUUCAACAUGAGUAAGCACGUAACAUGACUAGCUAAACAACAGCUUCUCAUAAUCCUAGCGAAUCCAAAUUAGCUGAGUUGCAAAUUUGUGCAUAAGAGUAGGCAACUUAUAGUUUAGACUAUACAAAAUAAUACGAGGCUAACCUAAUCAGAUGUCACUGCUCAUCAGGAUAAAUUUGAUGAGACUUCAGCAGAAACUCCCAACAGUAUAUCAUCAAUGGUUGUAAACAUUUAGGUAGAUUCAGAACAACAUAACAUAAAUGAGACAGACAAAAGCUCUCAACAUACCUAGAACACUUGGAUGUCACUUACCUUAGGAGUAGCACUGUUCAUCUGCAAUUUGGUAUUCAUAUUUACUCAAAAUAUUUCACUUACAUAAAGCAAAAGUUUGUCAGAGCCAUUUAAGUCAGAUGCUGAUUGUCUAAGACUGGAAACCAAGUAUUCAAGGUCAACUAUCAUCAUUUGGAUCACUACUGCUAAAUAAAUUACACAACAUCCUAACAAGAAACUAAUCAGACUAUCAUCAUCACAUACAGUCAGCAAGAGUACAUAUUACAAUAGGGUUCUUUUUCCAGCUCUCUGUAAGUGUUAGAUCAAGCUGAUGCAACUGAACCACAUACCUGCAAGCACAAGAACAGGAACAUAUUAUUUCUUUUCACAUUAGCCAUUUAAAUAUCACAGUGUUAACGUAGAAAAUGAGCAUAAGAAAUUUACUGAAGAACACCUUUGAAGCAACCGUAGGUUAAUUUAUGAACACGUCUACACCUGUAACUUAGCGUAUAAAGUAACUAUAGGGCAAGUUGAAAGAAAAGCAAUAAUGGUGAAGAUCAAUGCUUCUUUCCACAAUAACUUCUUUGAUUGAUCAAUGAACAUUGAGGAAAAAAAAAUCAUCAAAGUCCUGAUCAUGCUGUGGAAUUAGAUGAGUGGGUACAAUGCUUAUGCAAGACCAUCAUUAACAGCCUAUCUUGGCAGAAAAUGACACGAGAAAGGAGCAGUAAAUAUUCAAGUCAUAAAGCAUGAUAUUUCCAGUUCAGUCAAUAGCAAAACAACCGGUGCCAAGCAAGCUGGAGGCAAAAAAAAGAUGUAAACUUAUAGCAAUUGCAUACAGCAAAUAUAGUUUCCAGCCUAAAUAAGCAGAGGUGAGAUAUCUUAACAUUACAAAUUGCUUUAGACAUAAUGAAGAGUAGUGCAGCAUAAACAGGUUCGCUGCACCCUUUGAACGGCAAUUUGGGUCACACUCACAUGUAUGGAUUGUGAUGGUGCUCUAUGGUUAUGUUCGACAAAAAAUGAAAGAAGAGGAGCAUGCAAUAGAUGUCCUACACCCGGAGAGGAGUUGAUGAGGGGCAGGAAAAGGAGAUGAACAUAACUGUUUGCCGCUGCUAACCACCCAUCACCGACCAUGCACUGUCCAAUGUUUGUCAUGUGCCAUCCAAGGCAAAUUGCACUCAAUAUAUAUACGAAUAUGUGUUCAACAACAUUUUAGGGAGGGGGAGAGAAAGAGGGGCAUGACUUGAAUGCAAUGAGACAGGAUUUAAGCUCUGAGGCAUGAGUCUAACCAGAAAGAGACAAGAAUAAAAGGAAAAUAAAGAGAAAAUAAUUAUGUAAAAUAGAUUAUAUAAUAAAAAUACAAAUACAAUUAUAUAAACGACCCAUGCAGACCCCAACCAGAAACGGCCCCCGCAACUGAGAGUAUCCCUUACUACUCGUCGGGAAAUUUUCUGUACUAUGUCCUUGUAUCAUACCAACUACAUAUCAACUCAUGACCCAGGUAACCAUGGAAAGCAUAUGCUGAGAAAUAUUUUUGAGAAACUAGUAGUACGUUGAUGAUAUAGAAUUAUGAAAUGAUUUUAUGAGCUCCAAUGUAACUAAGUGUUUUAAUUAGAAUACCAACAUUUGAACAUCUUGAUAAAUCUUGAAUACAAAGAAUCAAGGUCUUCUACAUAAUGACAAACAUACAGUAUCAUAAAAUAAUUUACAACUAGGCAAGGACUAUUCAAUCUCCAAUCUUGAAGUUAUACACAUGCAUCUUAGUUACAUACUUUUAAGGUCAUUUUUUUUUAGAAAUUAUUGAAGUGAAAAGUAUUUCAUGCAGAAGAGAUCGAAGUCAAAUAUGGAUCCAAGUGAGCAACAUUACCAAAGGUUUGCAAUAACUUACAAUAUAUGCCCACUAAAGUUCAGUGUAUUUCAGCAUGAAAUAAUGAUGUUUUAACCUCUAAUUAUACUAUUUUGCAAUAUAAAAGAACUUUAUUACAUAUGAUUAAAGCAUCAUUAGAAUAAAGAUUCAACCAAUUUUUAUGUUUUGUAAUGCUAACCUUGCAAAUGAAACAUCAAUGAUUGUAGCUAGCACAGGAAGGCUGAGAUUUGAGGAUCACAAAACACAAAUAUGUUUUGUAAGUAUUUAUAGUUAAUGUUGCCAUGUUAUUCAUCUGAUAGACAGUAAAGUUACAUCCUGCAUAUUAAAUACUAGUCAAUUACCAGCAUCAGGCAAGCCCUCAAUAUCCAAAAGAGUUUCACCAUGGAAAAGCUUGAAUUGAGAAGGCUCCAUGAAAAUGGUAGUUAAACAGAAUAACAAAUUCCAAAUAUAACCUCAAAUCAGCAAAAUAAUGAACAUAGUUCUAGAGCCAGGUGACACAUCAAAAAAGGACACAAGGAAAAUGGUGAAGGCGUAGACCAUCUAACCAGUUACUGGAUAGUAUUACGACUUCUUUAAUAAAUGGUUUGCCAACAAGUCAGAUAUCCCUGAGACAGGAAGGCUCUCGCAACCAAAUAGUUCUUGAAGCUUGGGGUCACAGAGAAUAGAUGAAUUUGCAGAAUCCUACAAUAAGCCAAAGCAGAAAAACUCAGAUUAAGUAGUGUUUCUAAUCAAGAGAUGUAUCAGAUAAGAGCAGAUACAAUAGAAAUAAACAAGUAGAAAUUGUGGUCACAUAAAAUAUCAGCAGCUGUAAACAUUAAAGCAAUGUGAGAAUCUUGUCAAAUCAAUGUUAUUCAGAAAUAGAGUUGUAUCCCAUGCUUAGUCACAUUUUGUCCUCACCGGUUAUUGCUCAGAAAAUGAAAUGCAGUUGUCACAUAGAACCUCUGGUUAGCUUAGAUGUUAAUCAACCAAACAAAAUUUUGAUGAACAACCUUUAAAUUUCAAACUAAAACACUAGCAAAUAUUCUCAAAUCCAAUAAAUAUCUUAUAUUACAUACUCAUCAUGAUUGGACCCUGCAAGGCCUUACUCUGAUCUAGGUGUAUUAACUGACAACACUACAAAUCCCCACCCCCACCUCAUUUUCCCCUAUUCAAUUGAUAUUCACCUGAAAUUAACCUGUUCCAGCCAACCCUGGAUGAUUCAAUCAAGUCCAACUGGAUCUUGUCCAUUGUCGAUCAGUUUGGUAGAGAUCAGGGGAGAAAGGAGACGGUGAGCCAGGUCACACGAUUUUACAAGUAUUUUCGAGUGAAUAUACUUUGAAAGGGAAAUGGGGAUGGAAGAGUGCAUCUUAAAAUCAAAUGGCUACAGUAGAUCACAAAGUGAGAAGGCUGAACACUAUAUUUAGAACUUAAAAUGAACUGUCAUGCACUUCGUAGAACAAAAAUUUUGCAAACAACACCUAGAAUUCCUCAUAACAAACAUAUCAUUAAUAGUCUUCAUUUUUUUAGAUUUACAGACUAUAUACAUUUUCUUCCUUUUUUUUUGUAAAUCUCAAUUUUUCAUUCAAGAUCUCUUUUUCACAAUGGCCCCUGAUCUGUUCUUACUGGUCUCAGUCCCACUAACCUCAAUGUUCAUUCAAAAAGUUCUGUUUUUGGUCACAAUUAAAAUGUCACUUCUGAAAUAGAAGAUAUAACACAGCUACAGGCAUCCAUAUCUCCAUGAGAAUUUAAUUAGAAGCUGAAUGAAUUCCCAAGCUCAUCUUCAUUGAAUAGCAUGGGAAGAUAUGCUUACGAUGUUAAUGUCUAAUCUUUGAAGAUGUUACAAGAGAUGAAAGUACAGAUAGGAAGACCCUGGGUAUAGGAAGGACUCCUGAUCUUUGUCUGAUCUUCCAAUCUUCCAAGGAAAGGAUUCCAUAGCUCACUAAAUGGAUUGGUUAAACUAUUCAUCCAUCCUUGGAGUCAAAAUACUUGUCCAUUUGGUCCUGAAGGAUCAGACAACUAGAGCAUGAUGACAGACCGAACAAAUGAUCCAGAUAACCUAAGCCAUCCAAUCCUUAUAUAGGGGAUUGGUUCCACCCAAGCCAUCUUUUAACCCAUCACUAAAUUUUGGAAAUGAAGCACAGCACAUAUGGACACUAAUAACUGAGCAGUUCACCAAACAUAGACAUGAACAUAAACUUUGAUGGUUUUUACAUCAUAAGAAAGUCUUGCCAAUACAAUAUAUUAAUUACAAGAAGUUAGAAGCAUGCCUGACAACAAAAUGUCAUUUCAUAACCAGGAGACCAAAAGGAAGAGGCUCAUAAGUUAAAGAGACAUUAUGAGUCUAGUGCCACACUGCAAUUGCACAAAACAUGAGGAACCUCACAAAGAAUACCCAGGAAAUAUCAUUGGUGUAUCGGAUAGCAUCUGGAUUUUAGCAAUUUAAUUAUAUACCAAAAAUCAGCAUCCCUUACUGUGUUGGGAAAAGACAAAGAUGACACAGCUUAGGUCUGAAUUUUGCAUGUUUAAUGGCAUAAGAAAUUUGCAUGGCAACUAACCAUCUAUGUAUCCGUCUACAAAAGAUAUAAGGUCAAAAUCAAUGACAUUUGUACACAAGUUGGCGAGGUGACAGCACCUCUAGCAUAACAUCAAUUUGUACAAGCAAAGAGUUCAUUUUCAUCAAAGAAGCAUGUGAAAUUACUUGCUGUUAAAUAAUAAAUAUAUGCUGGGGGCAGCCAAACACAAAAAGUAAAAGUACACUAUGAUUAAUAUUAUUAUCAACAUGGGCAAGCAGGAUAUCAUGAACACAGUAAAAGAGGCCACAUAUAUAUAUAUACACACACAUAUGACAUCUUGCUGAUCUUUGAUGUAACAGAACUAAUGCUGUUCUUAUACACAGCCAGAGCUUACUUCCAGCUGGUUGGCUUUUAUGUAAUCCCAUACACGACUCAGAGCCACAGAUUUGAGAAUUUCUCUUUCUUCCCUUCCAAAAAAUUUGGCCAGUGAAUCAGAAAUAACCAUAGGAUAUUCAUCAGAAUCAGGUUUGGUAAUUUCAGUUGCAGAAACAUCUGCAGCCUUUAGUUUUUUGGAUUCAGCACCUGUAUCCUCUGAAAAAAGUAGUGGAUUCAAAUUCAUUCAGGUUAUCGCGGCAUACAAGCAUUCAAACACACUUAAAUGCACGAGAUGAUUAGCCUACUUGGAUAAUCAAGUGGAAUUAUAUGCUUGGAUAGCAGCUUGUUCAUCUUAAACAUAUCAGUACUAUCUGUCUCAAACACCCGCCGUAGUUCAUCAUUGCAGAUGAUCUUCCUCUUGUUAUUAGGAUCUUGCAGAUUGUUUUUUCGGAUGUAAGCCCAUAGCUGCUUUACGAUCUGAACCAAGAUAUAUGCAAUUAGUAUCCCACACAUAGACAAUAGCAAAAACUCGAGCAAAGUGUUAUACACAUUAGUGUGUUGAUUGAAUGAAGAACCUGAGUCCUUGACAUUGCUGCCUCACCAACAAUGGGCUGCAGUUCAGGUGAAACACCACAAACUUUAUUCAGACCCCCAGGACCACCUUUUCUUUUAGCCCUAGGUGGCGCACUGCACAAAGGAUGAAGUAUGGGUAACCAGACCAAGUACCACAAAGUCCAAAAAUAUGAAUGUACAAAACAGGAGCAAAGAUGCAUAUUUCUUGGUACAGAAGCCACCAGUUGCAGUAAUUAUCUACCAUGGAAAGAUGAAAAUAAAGAAGACAUCCAGUUUCUUAUGGAAAAUUAAACAGUAUCCAUAAACAAGUUGUAGAAGUCAGUGCUCUAUUAAUUUCCCAAUGUGUUCAUAGAAUAAAACAGCAACAUGUGUGUUACAGUUGAAGAUUCAAGCAGGGUAAGAUUUCUUUCUUCAUAAAUUAAUCAGAUGAUUCAAUAUGAAUUAGUGACAUAAACUAUUUAUUCUGAGUGAUUAAAUUGUCUUUAAGAUUGUUACCAAUGUUUCAUGUAACUUAAGUAUAACUUUUCCAAGGGAGAGAUUUAGGUUAUAGAGAUUCUGCAACACCUAGGUUUCAGCAUCUAUUUUGUUUGUUCCUUUAAGUGCAUAAUGUGGUAGGCAACCUCCUACCCAUCAACCCAACAUGCCAUUCUGAAUUCAUUAUGGGACUGGCUGCAAGUGUAUAUCCGCAAGGCCCGAGUAAAGGACUAAGUGAAUGGUGAGUCAUCAUCGUAUAUGCAUAAUUUACGCAAGAUCUGCCGAUUUCCUGACACUCAAAAAAUCUUUGGAUCAGUAAAAUAUUUCUCUAUUAAAUGCAAACCUCCUAUAAUCUUCAAGCUUGCAUUGCAUCACUCAUAUGGCAUUUCGAGUCCACAUCCUGGUGCAAGCUAUGCAAAGAGAUAAACCGAAAAAUGACUAAAACAAAACAAAAAAGAAAGGUAGGAAUUUCAAAUUUGGUUGUAUCACCAAGGUAUGAUCUAAAUGUUAGAAAGUUUUUCUUUUAAUGGAUAAACCUACAUCAAGAACUCCAAAACAGGGGCUAAAAAGACAACUUUGGUUUAUGUUUUGGUUCUUGUGGCUUUGUUUCAGUGGUUCUUGUACCGGCUUGGACGCACUAGACUCUAGCAUACAGUGAAGUGACACCGUAACAUGAAUUCAAACUAGCAUACAGUGGUUCUUGUGGCUUUGUUUCAGUGGUUCUACCAUAUGUUAACUAACACACUCUCACUUCAUCUAGUUUACUAACCUCAAAAAGUAGUUAGUUUCUGGAGCGCACACACACUCACUUGAUGAUCAUGCGCUACAUUCUAUUUUUAUUUAUUUUCUCUUUCUUGACCAAUCUUGGAUCAAUAUUAAUAUAUAACCAAAACUAAAAAGAAAAACUAUAAAAAUGUAAUCCACUUGAACCUAACUGGUUGUAUAAGUCUUCAGAAAAACUCUCAUAUGAAUCUAGAAACCAAAAGUUGAAUCAAUUCUUCAGCUUUGUAGUUGCUACUUAAGCCACAUAAAAGCUCAAAUUGAGCACGAAAAGCUUGUCAAGAAAUCCUUGUUAAGAAGAGUAGAGCGCAUUCUAAGCUAAAAAGGAGGCACCUUUCCUUCGGCGCAGCCAUAGCCACAGUCACGGGCGCAAGCCCGACAGCAGCAGGGACCCCCUGUGGCGCCUGGUGGAGCUGCUGCUGGAGGUGGUACGCCGCCACGACGGCAGCAGCGGGCAGAGGCGGGGGCGGGGGAUACUGGAAGGCGAUGCCGGGGUGGUGGUGUUGGGGAAAUGGGGCCGGGGCAGCGACGCCGGCGGAGGAUGUGGGCUUGGGAGGGGGGAUCUGCUGCUGGAGAGGGAGGUGGUGGAGGAGGAUGUAGGGGUUAUGGGGGCCGGCGGCGGCCUGCGACUGGGGAUGAGGAGGGAGAGGAUGAACGGAGGGGCGGAGUAGGAGCUCGAUCUGAUCGCGGAUGAAGGCGGCCUUGUGGGAGAGGUCGAGCCCUAGCUUGGCCUCGACCUGGCGCACGACGUCGGGUAGCGACGCAGCGGCGGGGUCGGACUGCCGGAGGACCGACUCAACGCAGCUGGCGAUCUCCUGGUCCGAAACCAUGGUGAUGGCGGGCCCAACACCAUGUAACGGCGACGCCAGAGGGACAGAGAAAGAAAACUCAAAUGGCCCGCCCCGCCCCGCCCUUUCCCCUCUCUCUCUCUCUCUAUCUCUCUCUUCUCCUCCUCCACUCUCUAUCUCUCUCUUCCCCUCUCUAUCUAUCUCAAUCUCUCUCUCUCUCUCUCUCUCUCUCUCUCUUAGGUCUCCCUUCAGAAAUAGUCGAACAUUUGACGCUGAAAUAACCAAAAUGCCCUCGAAUCCUUGCUUGAGAAUCAAAUCAUGUCACGUGCAUACACGUGACAUGCGUCCUCCCUGAGUUCAUCCCAUUCCAAAGCCUCUUCCGGUUGAUUGGCCGAUGAACCGAGGCCCCAGUGGUGGAGCCCAGCCUCUACUCUACGGACGACGGGAUCCCCUCCAACCAUUCCUUUAGAUAGCACCGUCCAAUUCCCAUCUUAUGUCGUUGACCAAGCGUGUGAUCUGACGACAAAGGGAUGUUGACUUGAGCACGUCUCAGAACUGCCUAAUAAUUAAUGGAUAGUUGGGUCUCCCGUCGAAUUCAAGUCUUUCACAACUAAGCGACUAGGUUAUUAAUCCAAUUCGAUCCAAAGUCUAAAGGUUUGAUCGGUAUCUAAAGGGCAUCACGUUUUGGCUAACAAGAAUAAAAGUCAACAUAAAGCUUGUUUCAUGUGGCUUGUUUCACACACUUACACGAUGUGGAAUAGAUAUCUCAACAACUUGCAUGAGGUUGACCAACCUCCGUAUCUAUUUCUUCUUAUUUAAGAUUCCGAUUUCUUGGAAAUUAAAAAAAGGACCAUUAUGUUGACCUGUGCACAGUGAUUUCGAUGAUUAUUAUGUAUCGAUGAGGUCGGUUUUCGUCAUCCUAUUGACUUAGACGACACGGAUCGCGUCGGGGCCACUAUGAUGAUAUUAGUACUUUUAAUUGCUUAAAAGAUGAUACUCAUUGGGAUUAGAUAUGGUUAGGCUAAGGUAUGAAAUUGUACUUUUAUUUACCUUAUUGCUUCAAUAGAUUGAGUUUAACAGUAGCAAUUUAUUAUUCUAUGCAAUCUUAUUUUGAGGAUUAAGCCAUUAGAGUUGGUUUUGUUUGUCUUCUCAUAUCCUACGAAAUAUGUUCAAUUACAUCCGAUUGUAUGAAAUUUUUAAAAAAUAAAAAUAUAACCCUAAAUGAGAAGGUUAAUUUUGUCUAACAGAAAAAAAAAAAAAACACACAACCCAAUAUUACUUAUAGAAGUAUAUAUACUAUUUGCGUUCUUCAUCAUUUUACUAUUUUAAACAAUAUUAUUUUUAAUAGUUAUAAUGAUUUAUUUAUUUUUCUCUUUUCCAUGGUUUUUGAGGAAGAAAAAGAUCAAGAGGAGUAAGAGGAGAAGAAGAAGAAGAAGAAAAUGAGAAUGAGGGGGAAAGAGAAGAGGAGAAUGAGAUUUAUAUUUAUUUACACAAGGAUAGUUUGAAAAUAUUUAAAAUAAAAUUAUGGAUCGUAAAUAGUUAUCCUUUUAUUUAUAUCUCUCGAUGAAGGCGGAAUAAAGGAGAUUACUAUUUGAAACCCGUAUAUUUACUAUAUUUAUAAUCUUAUUUAUAAUUUUUUUAAUAUUUUUAAAUUAUCACUUUAUAAAUUAAUAUAAAUAUUCUAUUCUUAACCCUCUCCCCUCCCUCUUAUUCUUUCUUCUUAGAUAACGAUGUGAGGGAAGUAAUAAAUAGGAUCGGAUGGCAUCGAGCGAUAAGGAGAAGAGAGUAAAGAGGAGUUAAAGAAACAUUAUCCCCCAAUAAACCCUAAUUUGACUUCAGGAUAUUCCAUGGCUAUACUAGCUCAACCAAGAAGCCCUAAUUCAUGAGUUCGAUGCCCCUUCCUCCUUCCCCCAUACAUUGUCAUUCAUGGUUUCCCUUUUUAAGAAAUCAAGCUUGUACUCCUAAAAAUAAUGAUUUACAUGGUGUACAAUAGAGGUAAGCCUUAUUGAUUGAUUUUUUUCGAAUUCGCUAGCUUUAUUAUGCUCAUGGUGGAUCAGUUGCCUCUGCAUGCACUAUUGCUUUGUUUGUCUAUCAGCAUGAACUUGGAAGAGAAACAAGUGAUGUUCAUGUCAUGGAUUAACGCAUAGCUGAGGAGUACAUGUCUUUUGCAACUAUCAUCUGACAUGAAACAAAUUACUUUAGGGCUUGACAAGUAAUGAAAAAUGGAUGUCCGUGGCUAAUAAAUCUUAGUCAACACCGAUACCCACCCAACCAUCUUCAUCAGACAUAGAGAUAGAGUUGUUGUGAUCAUGAUUAUUGAAUUCUUGGAUGAUACAAAUUGCUGCUCUAUGUAGUUGCCAAUGCAGUGUCUUAAAGAGUCUACUAAAGUUAGAUGUUUAGGUUGAAGGAUGAUGGAUGCUUCGUAAAACGAUAAAGAAUCAUUUAAGAUGACGUUGUAUAAUUUGAAUAUGUGAAAUAAUAAUAAUAACUAUUAGGAGAGACAAAGACACGAGGAGAUAUUUAAAAGAAUUAUUAAUUGUAAAUAAAAAAAAUAUUCAAAUAUUUAUAAUUUAAUUACAAAAAAAUGAUUUUCAAAGAAUUUAAUGACAAGUGUAUUUAAAAUAGCUGAGAUAUCAUGAUUUUAUUUUGGUUAUUAUGUUCAAAGUUCCUAAUAGAAAAUAAAAAUAAUUAAAUCAGUUAUUAUAUUUUACCCAAGGACUUGAAUCCUUCACGUAGGACCCACCGCAUCCACGGAGGGAGGGAGGACAGGGAGGAGGUUGGGGGUUGGGGGGUGGAGGACGGUCACAUCCGCCCCUGAAACGUUUUGGCGUUGCGGGUCACGUGGUCUCUUCACCGCCAUGCACGUGAAAUGGGACCCGCGCGAUCGGUCCGGAUGCGAAGGCCACAUCACCCGUGGAAAAACCUUGGUUCUCCCCACCCCUCGGCAGAACCCGUGAACCCACCCGCCCGCCCGACCGCCUCGGACGACGCGACGACGGUGCUUCUUCCAUGAUGUGGCGGAGCACCUCCACCGGAUCACCGAGACAACUAAUAUGCAGCAGUAGCCGCGGCAGGACGACGAGGCAUCAGUCGAUGGAGGUACACGAAAACAACCCGAAACCCCAAUCCCAACCGUAACCCUAACCCUAACCUUAAUCUUAUCCCCUCCUAGAAAACAACACCGAACCCACCCGUCAGUAGCAUCCCCGCGCGGCAGCCGUGUUUCCCGUAGUCGUUCCGUGCUCUCUGAUCUUUACACCAUAUCUUGUUCAAUCACCCUGUUUGCUACUGGUUCGUUUGUCUGACUGCAGCGAAGUUAUCGCUGACCGCACGGAGCCCACCAGCUGUUUGUUGAUUUGCUUCGACCAAGCCCCCUUGCCGAAAGCUGCUGCCGGGGCAGCUUACUGGAUUUGAGGUAUCGUGAUGGCCUAGCGGACUUGGAACGACUUUGAAUGGAUAUAUAGUAUAUCCUUUGUGUUUUCGUCGCCAUUGGUAACUCUCCUAAUGACUUGUUGCCAUGCCCCAAUUGUUUGUGUAAUUUCUUUGUUUGGAACUCUUAUGUGAUUAAAAUUCAGUUUGAAAUUCCUCGUCUAGAAUGAAAAGUGACUACAAUUUAAUUAAAAUCGAGUCACAUGGUCUGGCAAUGGAUUAAGAUGAAAUUCAUAAACUUAAGACAUUAUUUCUUAAUUUCUAGAAUGAAGCAGUGCUUUCUUUUUUUGUGACUCUUCAUGGCAUACUUCUUUUCAUGUCACAUCAAAAUUAAGAAGGUACACCAAUGUUUCACAUUUUGUGAUAUGAUGAUAGGGACUUGUACUACUUACAUGAAUCCAGCUUGACCUGCUAGUGAACUAACUAAGAGUAAAUUGGUUUUGUUGGAUAGGGUUAACUUAUGAUUUUAACUAAUUUUAAAUUAAGCUAAAUAAGAAGAGGACCGUCAUUAUGGAAUAAACUUAAGUCUCAAAUUAGUGUAUCAUGUAAUAAUAGGUAGCCAAAAUCAUACCUUGACCAUUUCUCCAAACUUCACAAAAUAGAAGAACUCAAUUUAUUCCAAUUUUGUUCCAACCAAGGUAUCACUCUUAAUUUUGAUCUCAACUGAAAUUAAUAUGAAAUCCGUUCAAAAUUAUUUGAAGUUGAUUCCAAAUAGGAUGUAAGAGAAAUACCUAGGUAUCUGUAUCUUUUUUCUUUCAGCUGGAAUUCACAUGGCUAUCCCAAGGUUGAUUUUGGCAUUCGUCACACUGCCUUGUGAUGCAUAUGGAUUGUAUUGAUUUGAUUGUUAAUCAUUUUCAUGGUACCAUUAGUUGGGGUGAGGAGGUGCCAUGAUCGAUGCAAGGUUUCUUGAUGCAAGUAGAUCAUAGGCUAGUUCCUCUAGCUAUCGAUGAUUAAAAUAUCAGGCGACGUGUCCUUAAUUUGUAAUUGAAUUGAGUGUCAGCGGAUUCUUUGGUCAUCAUAUAACUAACCACAAGUAAAUGGGUAAUAGCGACGGCAAAGUAGGAGAAAUCCUUCCAUGGAUAAGUAAGCAAGUUAUAUGAACCAUCUCAGAGGGAAUGAGACAUAUGUGAUGACUGUUAAAUUUAAAGAGCAUUUUAUAUAUGGUAGACAUCAUGCUAGAGCAUUAGUUGAUUAGCAUCAUGACUUAUAUGCUCUGCACCAGAUGGAGCUUAUGCAGGAUGUUCAAUAUGAGAGACUGUUAUGCUUGUCAGCUGAGAGUAUAUAUAGAUCAGGAAGAAGAUAUCAUCUGGAGGAUUAAGUAGGAAACCUCAAGUUCUAUCAUAGGUUGAACCUGAAAGGCCUUUCUUAACUUGUUUUUGAUGAGGAUCUUUCUUAAUUGGCUUUUGAUAAGGGCCAUACUUUUUUAUUGCUCUGGUAGUUGAAGGGGAUGUUUAGUUAGGUUUACAAAGAUGAAAUUUCCAGGGAAAUGUUAAGAAUUUUGGAUCAGUCUUUAAAGAUAUAUACCACAGUUCGGUGAUGAACCAAUUGAACUUGAUGAUAAGGAGUUGGGAAACUUACCUUUUGCAGGCAGUAGAAAAGAGUGAACUAUCUUCCUUUGCUGUACUGCUACAUUCUUUUAGAUCAGCUUAUGUGACGAAGCAUGUCUGUCUGAUUGUAUGGGCUAUAUUUGCCAAGAUGGUACUGGGUAGCUUUUAUCUAGAUUUCAUGCCGGGCUUACAAUAUAAGCUGAUACUCUGCAUGUGGUUGAUGGCUUUUAAAUAGCAUUUUAGAUAGGCUUAAGUAUCAAUAGACGAAGAAUGUCUGUCUGAGUGUAUGGGCUAUAUUAGCCAAUAUGGUACUGGGUAGCUUUUAUCUAGAUUUCAUGCCAGGCUUACAAUAUAAGUUGCCGCUGCAUGUGGUAAUUGACUUUUAAAUAUCAUUUUAGAUAGACUUAAGUAUCAAUAGAUGAUGGGCAUCUUUAUUCAAAGGUAGUUGCAUGAAUGUGGUAUGUAAGAAUGGUUUAGAGAAUGAAUUUGAAAUCGUAUCCUGUCUUCAGCUGUAUAAAGUGCUUGUUGUGAUAAGCCACCAUUUCUGUAGCUGCUUGUAUCCCCUAAAAGAUGGUAACCAUGUUUGUAAAUAACCUUUUUAGGCUUAAUAUCCAAGCAAUCUGAUAAGGAACCCGAGGUGGUCUGCAGGUGAAGUUUCCAUGGUCCCCUGCUGUUGGAGGACCUUUUUGCUGAGUUAUGCAGGAUCACCUGCACAAGCAGCAGUCAAUGGUGUCUGCCGUGAUCCCUGGAAAGUUGACCUGGAGCGUCAAGUUGUGAAUCUAUUUAAAAUUUUUUAUUUUCUUUUUCAAUGAUAAUUUUAAGUUCUUUUGUUUGUAUGUCAAAGUAGAUGUGACCCUCAAUUAGGCAUUCUAUUGUUUUUAGGAAAAAAAAAAUCUCUGUAUACAUAAUUUGUUCUUAAUCUUUGAAUUUUAUUUGAAGGCGAUCCAGUAAUUUCAGAAUUAGUUUCUAGUUCUGUCAGCUUCAUAUAAUAUUAUAAUUGGAUUAAUCUUGCAUCUGAUAAUUUCAAUCUUGCAGCUUUUGUGGGGCUUUAAAGUGUUGUUUGCUUUUUAUCUUUCUUAGUGGAUGUAGGGUGUUGUGUACUACUAUCACAGCGCUUGAGAUGGAACAGGAUGAAUCUCCACUUGAGUCUAGUGAUGAGGAGCUUAUCUGUGACAAAGAUAGUGGGAAUCAGGAACGAAUGGAGAAAAGAGUUGCUGGCCUUGAAAUCGUAAAAGCACCUGAGCCUGGAAUGACUUUUCCUUCUUUGGAUGCUCUUGUCGAAUACUACAAGAAAUAUGGAAAGCAAGAAGGUUUUCGGGUUAGUAGAAAAUCAAGAACAAUCUCAAGUUCUGGAAAAAUAGAACAUGUGACAAUUGCAUGUUCGCGAGAGGGAAAGCCAUACAUCUAUAAACGGAAUAUUCUACAACCCAAACCGACAACAAAAACUGGAUGCAAAGCUCGAGUUAAUGCUACUCUGUUUGAAAAUAUGAGCUGUAGAAUCAAUUCAGUUAGGCUUGAACACAGUCAUUCUCUGGUUCCGAGAAAAUCACGCUUCUGCAUGUGCAACAGGGAUUUAUCUAUAGGUGCACAAAAAAGACUCGAAUUGAAUAAUAUGACAGGGACUGGUGUAAAUAGGAAUGACACAACUUGUAGUGUUCAGGCUGGGGGUUGUGAGACUGCACCAACUUUGGAGAAAGAUUGCAAGAAUUCUGUUGAGAAGGCAAGUAAGUUUUGGCUGGGUGUGGGUGAUGCUGAAGCAAUUUUUGAUUACUUUAUUCGUAUGAAAUCAAAGAAUUCAAGCUUUUUUUAUGCAAUGGAUGUUGAUGAAGAAUCCCGAAUUAAAAAUGUGUUAUGGGCCGAUGCAAGGAGCAGGGCAGCAUAUGAAGAGUUUGGUGAUGUUGUUACAAUUGAUACAACAUAUUUGACAAAUAAAUAUGACAUGCCUUUUGUACCUUUUGUAGGUGUUAACCACCAUGGCCAGUCAAUUUUAUUUGGAUGUGGCUUGCUGUCAAAUGAAGACACCAUGACAUUUACAUGGUUGUUUAGAGCUUUUCUUUCAUGUAUGUCUGGGCGUGCUCCAAAUGCUAUCAUCACAGAUCAAGACAAGGCCAUGCAAAAAGCUAUUGAGACUGUAUUCCCGGGCAUUCGUCACCGAUGGUGUUUGUGGCACAUAAUGAAGAAACUGCCAGAGAAGUUUAAGGGUUAUAGGGUGUAUGAAGAAAUGAGAAAAUUGAUGCAAAAUGCAGUUUAUGAUUCAUUCACAAAGGAGGAAUUUGAAGAAAGUUGGACUAAAUUCAUCGAGAAAUUUAAUUUAUAUGAUAAUGCAUGGUUAAAAGGUUUAUAUGAAGAGCGGCACCGAUGGGUCCCUGCAUUUGUGAAAGAUUCUUUCUGGGCUGGGAUGUCUACAACACAAAGGAGUCAAAGGAUGAAUCCUUUCUUCGAUGGGCUUGUAUAUUCGAAGACAACGAUGAAGCAAUUUGUUGAGCAGUAUGAUGUUGCAUUGGAAAGUAAAGUCGAGAGAGAAGACCAAGCGGAUUUUCAGUCCUUCAACUCAUGGGUCCCCUGUGUAACUCAUUUUGAUAUAGAAAAACAAUUUCAACAAGUUUAUACCAUCGACAAGUUUAAAGAAUUUCAGCAAGAGAUGGUAGCAAAGCUUUAUUGUGAAGUCACUUUAGCAGGUGGGAGUGAUGGAAUCUCGGAGUAUGAUGUGUCUGAGGAUGUCUUGAUCGGGGAUGAUGAUGAUCAACAUCAUAAGCUGGUCCACUUCAAGGUGCAUUUCACCGAGGGUGAUUGUGAAGUUCAGUGUAGCUGUCACUUGUUUGAAUUUAAGGGAAUCAUAUGCAGGCAUAUGAUAUCUGUCCUAGUAAAGAGGCAAAUUUCUAGUGUUCCGUCAAGAUACAUUCUACCACGAUGGAGGAAAGAUUUGAAAAGACGUCAUAUGAAGGUGAGAGUUGGUUAUUGCGGUUGGAGCAAUAAUCCAAAGGCCCAACGAUAUGAUUAUAUACACAAUAAGUUUGAUGAGGCAGCAGACAUGGCAGUUGAGUCUGAUGAGUACUCUGAGAUGCUUUGGAGUUGUAUUGAUGAUUUCCAGAAAAGAAUAAAUAAAAGUGAUGUGGAUGGCAAGGGCACUCAACACCCUUCUGCAAGACUAACCAUCGAAAACAGACUGCUUAGUCCUCUAGCUCUUCGUAGGCAGGGGCGUCCUUCGACAAAAAGAAAGGUAUCCAAGGUUGAGCAAACUAUAAAGAAACACCUGCAACCCAAAAAGAAGGGUCAAAGUAGUGGCGAACACGACCAACAGGUGAACACACAAUGUCUCAGUUUGUUGCCGAAUUAUAAAGUUUUAACAAAUUCGAUCUGUGCGAGUUUUUACACUUCAAAUUGCAGGUAUCACAACACCACCAAACUGUUGACACCUACGCACGCGAUAUCGUAGGGGCAACUGCACAAGGCUCCACUGAGAUUGGAACGCAAGAAACCAUUUUGCAGGUAUGUGGACCAUCAGAAAAUAGCAACUACUUGUAUUGGUGGAACACAAUGGAAAUAACACUAAAACCAGGUCUCUCUCUCCUUUAUGUUUCCUCACACCAGGCAAAUGCGACUUAUGGUCAAUAUCCUGGCCAAGUCCUAAAUAUGCAACAUGUGGGUAGCAAUCCUCUACUGCCACCACUUGUUCAAGUUGCACCAGGUAAGCCAACUUUGACAAAACAGUAAUCAAAGCUUCUACUCUAUAAUGCUUGCUAACAGCUUAUAUAAUUGCCUUUGUUAGAAAUAAGAGGUUCCACGUGGGGUCAGCACGGAGUAUCUGAUUACCCGUUUCAGGGAUACAACGAUAACAAAUGAUGACUGAGAACCUAAAUCUUUCAAGGUAAAUGUCAGAUACCUUUGUCGACUCUCUUCUCAUCGAGUCUCCAUGUUACAAGUCCUCCAGUUCUUGUCAUUUGCGUAUGGUAUGGAUUAUGUUGAUUCGAACCGACAAUUGAGUAUAAAUAAUAUCAUACAAACAACAAGUUCUGGAGGACUCGUGUGGUUUCAGUUUCCAAGUCAUAAUUAACUCCAAUCUUCAUUCUAUGAUCGUUUUGCUCAGUUGCAGGAUCAGCGGUUCCGCAGCAGAGAAAUGCAGGAGGCGUGCGCAGGUUCUAGUGGACACUCCUAUCGAUCGAACACCGGAAGAGGACUUGUACAGAUAGUGGUAUGGAUCGGGCGCUUUAUAUAUUCUUGUUUUGUGGAUGCUACCACGUAAAACAAUGGACUUCUUUUUCCACUUCUCCGUUGACAACAGCUUGUAAUGUAGAAGCCUGCCUGCCUGUUCAAUUUAGACUGCUUUGAGUAACGUCUGGCCCAAAUCACAGAAAUAAAACACACUUUUAUUCUUGUAGGCUUAUUGCUAUCUUUUCGGUGUCCAUUUAAAAUUAAAUAUAUAUAAUAUGCUUAAAAAUGUCCUUAAUUUUUUUAAAUCAUCGACACUGAUGUCUAUUAGAAUCUCAACAUAAAAUGUGUUACGUGGUAAGUUUUCCAAAUUUAUUUAACUGGAAAAAUUUUAGGGAUAAACACCAAAAUUAUCGACUUCCUUGGCUUAACUGUGAUUCGGAAGUUGGAUGGGACCCACCUGUGGGACUGUGAUGUCGACCAGUGAAAGAUGGUUGCGUAACGAAAGAUGGUUUUGCAAGAUCAAUCGCACAGAAAACUAGCCGUUGCGUGGCCGUCGCCUACGCACCCCAGCCACCCCCCCGACCAAACGGCUACUUCUUCCCCCCCAUAGAAACCCUUGUUCUUGAUCUUGAUCUUGUUUCUCCCUCCUCCUCCUCCUCCUCUAAACCCCCUUGAGAUGGAGAACUAAUCUUGUAUCCUCCUCUCCCACUUCUUUCUGCCAACAAAAUGAUAGCGGAAUCCGAUCUCCAUUUCUCCGACAUUCCUCUUCCUCCCCCCUCCGGGUCAGAUGCCGAGGGGAAGCACCGCAGCCUCCCCCCUCCUACUCCGGUGCCAUCGGCGACGCAACCACCAGUCCCCACCCCUCUGGCCACUGAUCGGAAGUCCCGCCGCCCCCGCGCGAGGCAGAUCAGCUCUCGCUACCUGUCCCCUUCCUCUUCCCCUUACCCUUCCUCUUCCUCCUCCGUCUAUUCUUCUGAAACCCUACGCUUCGCCGCCUCUCCAAGAAAUGGGUUCGCCGCUCCCUCCUCCGUCGCAAUCCUUUCCAAGAAGCACCAGCAGCAGAAACCCCACUGGCGCCACCCGUCUUCUCCCGGGCCCGAACUCGAGGAGGCCGACGAGAACCAGCCCCUGGCAUCCGUCAGGCGGAGCUCGGAGACCCCCCUCCCCUUCUCCGCCCACGGCAAGCCUAUCGGCACCAUCAAGAAGCGGGCCGUCGUCCGAUUGUUCACCGACAACCACAGCGACGCUGCAGAGCAGCCGCCGAGGUUGGAUGAUCCUGGGCCGAGGCCAAGACCGGGAACCCCGGUGGCUCACCACCGUGUCCUGGAUAGCACCCCCGUUCUGAGGACGAACACUCGACCCCCUACACCCUCCCGGGUGAACCUCUUCCCUUCCGAUGGCUACCGCUGGGCUCAUGGAAGCGGCGACUGCGGGUUGGAUGAAACCACCUCGGAGAAUUCCUUUUCCGACACGGAGACUUGCAGCGUUAGCAGUCAGGGUGGCCUCUGCGACAGCCCGCCCCUCCUCCCUCCUGCGUCUUGCAGAUCGAGGCUGGCCACGGACGUCCGGUCGUCCAUGCCGGAGGCGGACCUGCUGCCCACCAUGUCGGCCAGACGCCAAGACGGGGCCGAGGUCUCUUCUUGUAGAUCAUCUACCAGCUCGCUUUUCUUGCGCUCGGCUUUCUCCGGCCGCCAACAGCAGCACCCCUUCAAUUUGAGCAAGUCCGUCAAUAGGCCUCUCUUCUCGUCGAAGCCACCACAACCUCCGAGUGCUAAACCAGCCGCCGAGGUGAAGAAGGUGAACAAGGCACUGGGCCGACAGGAGGACGCCCAUGUGCUUAGGCUUCUCGACAACUGCUAUGUGCAGUGGAGAUUUCUCAAUGCGAAAGCUCGGGGGACGGUGGAAGCUCGGGGAGUUGCGGCUCAGGUUAGUGAGUGUGGAGGUUGCAAUGGCAAUUAGAUUUGGUUUCUUGUCCAUUACAGAACAAAUACCGAACAGUUUGAGUUCUUUUUAGAAAUCACUGUGUGGGCUUUCCGGGAGGAUUGCAGAGCUUCAAAGCUCUGUUAUGGAGAAGAGGAUCCAGCUUGAACAGCUCAAAAGAAGAGAGAGGUUAUUGUCCAUCAUCCAUCAUCAAGUAAGACUGGAUCUUAUUAUGAUACUGCUACAUUUUCAUGUGUGGAUAUCAAUUUUCUCAUCUGAGUUGGAUGUCUCUCCUCUCAUAUGCAAGGGUUUAAUGCCACAAAAUGAGGAUGAGCCACACAUUUCAUGAUUCAUUGAGCUUUUUCUGUUUGCAAUAGGCAAAAAAAUUAUUUUUUUCUAUUCUUUCAUUUUUGGGAUUUGUGAGUGAAUUUUGGAAUAAUUUCCUCUUCACGAGGAAUAAUUUCAGAUAGAGUUUUAGAUUAUGUUAAGGAGAUAGAACAGUAUGAUCUAUGGAUUCUUUCUCAUGCUACCAGCAAAACUAUCCCACUAUCAUGUUCAAGAUCAUAUAUAUAUAUAUAUAUAUAUAUAUAUAUAUAUAUAUAUAUAUAUAUAUAUUGGAUGAUUAAGCAUGCCCUAGUAUCAUAAUUUGUUCUAUUUUGUAGAUGCCACAUUUGGACGAGUGGACCGUUCUUGAAGAUGAUUAUUCAAGCUCUCUUUUAGGGGCAACAAAGGCUUUGCAGGAUGCUUCACUUCGACUCCCGAUUGCGGGGAAUGUGAGGGUAUGACACCUUUAGAUUAAUCAUCCUCUAAUAGAGUUGCUGGAUCUUGUUUUCUUUUUUCAUUUCCCCCCCCUUCUAAUGGAUUGAUUAUGAGAUCUUACAUUAUCAUAAUUGCAGGUAGAUACUCGUGAACUUAGGGAAGUUAUGGACUCUGCAUUACUUAUGCUGGAAUUACUGUCUCCGUGUGUGGCGAGAUUUCUAUCAAAGGUGAGGUUGCUGAAUUGUUGCAAGAAAAGAAUUUGAACGCUUCAUUCGUUCAUCUAGGGAACUUUGUCGCGUAUUGGUAUUCCAACAUAUAUCAUAUCUUUAACAUGCACAAUGUACCCCCCUUGCUGUUCUUUAGUGAUUUGUGCACCUAAGGUUAUUGCUCUUGAAUGCCAAACUUGUGUUUUUGUACAUAGAAAGAUUUAAAUGCAAUGGAUUUAGAGGUUGAAGACUAACACAUAUAGAGCAUAGAAUACAAUAGAUUUAUCCUAUGAGAGGCUGAAGAUAUGGAUCAGAAUACAAUGGAUUUUGCCUUUUGAUGUCUUAUCAUGUUUAUAUUUAUGCUGCUAGCCUCUGAUACUAAUAACUCCCAACUCUUAUUAUUACAGGCUGAAUAUAUCACAUCAUGUAGCUUCGGAUAUAUUUAUCCUGCUAGCCUCUGAUAGUUAAUAACUCCUGACUCUUAUUACAGGCUGAAGAUGUCGAUCAUGUAGCUUCGGGCCUGGCAAGUGUGAUCAGUACUCAAAGGGUUUUGGUUGACGAAUGUGGAAAUCUUUUAUCAGAGGCACAUGUGUUGCAGGUUUGCAAUUGUUUUCUUGGAAGAGCACUAGAAUAGAAUCACACACUAUUUGGAGCAGCUAGCUGCCUCCGGGAUCUGGCAACAGAAGUUUAACCUAUGUUUAUUGCUGCUUGGUCUUUGUUAGGUGAAGGAAUGCAGCUUAAGAACCCAGCUUAUUCAGGUUAAACACAGGCGCAUACAGUAGUCGAUCGUUUGCAACGACACUCACUCCGAGUUUGCCAUUUGAAACAAUUACUAUUCUUCUUUUGAAAUCACCAGAAGAAGUUUGCGUUCAAUCGAUUAAGGAGAGGCUGAGAGGUUAAGCUCUCUUUUCUUGUGAUAUUAUUAUAAGCUAGAGAUGGCAAAUCAUUGAAGAGUUGGAGCAGCGAGCGUUCUCUCUCUCUCUCUCUCUUCUCUCUAUUCAUACCAGAGCAACUUCGACCCUUAGCAGCCUCCCGGCCCAAAUCCGAUGACCUUCUUCGAGACAUCGUACACCACAGUGAACGUCCUCUGCUGCACGUUUCCCACUAUCCCCAGGUCACCAUCGUCACUGUUGGCGGCGAAGGCCAGGCAAACCUGCGACUGACUCAGGGCGUAGAGGAUGCCCCCGAAGUCCAGGUUCAUCGUCACACCGUCGCUGAACUCCAAGGCCACCGUCGGUAUCGACACCGUGGUGUAUCCCGUGAAGUCGUAGCAGGUGUCCAGUAAGGAAUCCGGGGCUGCCGCCUUGUAGCUCGACAUCCCCUGUCGGAAGGCCGACCGGAGCGCCGAGUACGCCGUCGGAGGCAGCCGGCUUAUGACCGUGCCGGAGUCGAUGAUCGUGCCCGCGUUGGAGAAGACGGUGGCCGAUAUCGGGAGGCGCUGCCCGCCGACGCUUAUAGCUACCAAGUCCAAGAAAUAAAACGACGGCGAGCUCGCGUCGGUCAGCAUCGGCGUGAACUUGACGUUGGACGAGGACGAGUAGCUGCCGCUGCCGAAUGUCAAGAAGCCCGUAGAGCUCGACGUCGACGGCAGGCAGUAGGCGAAGACCCCGCCGUACUUCUGGUACGCCUGCACGACCAGCGAUGCCUUGUUACGGCCGAGGCCCAUCAGCCCCGAGAUCCUACCGAAGAGCCCACGGUUCUUCUCGCCGCACCCGAACCGGAAAUUGGGAAUCACGUCGGCGUCAGUCAGCGUGAGCUUCUCCUCGGCGAAGAAGCCGAUGGUGUAGGACUUGUCGCCGUACUUCACCCCGUAGAGGCAGGUGGAGGAGCUGCAGCCGGAGACGUCGAGGUCGGAGCAGUAGGCAGAGCCGCAGGAGAUGUUGGCGUACGUCGACGAGUGAGAGGGGUCGAAGAUGGGAUCUUGCUGCAGGUAGCAGUAGGAGGCGCAUGGCUGGCACUGGAUCCAGGUGACGUCGCUGCCGGUGUCGAAGACGACGGUCUGGUCCCGCUUGGGGGUGCCGAAGCCGACCGUCACGACGUAGUUCCCGACUCCGAGGGAGCUGCCGCUUCGGGCUGGGAUCGCCGAUGCCUCCACCGCCGAAUCCUGCGGUUGCACCUUCACCUUUGUCGCAGAGGUAGGAGAGGAGGAGAUCUGCCGGUGGAGCCAGUCGACUCGGAAUCGAUCUCGCUCUAGGAUUUGCUGGUGGGAGAGGACCUGCCGGUGGUGCAGCGGCGAGCAUGGGCCGUGCCGGUGAGCUACCGUCAGUCUCGUGAAGUUGGAGCUGGCGGUACCUGGACGAAGACAAGAUUGAUUAGUCAAAGGUGACGUUGACCGCCUUUCUUGGAUACAUGUUUCAUAUCAUAUUUUGAUCGUGUUCCACAGAUCCAAUAAUUCAGUCAGUAAGCGUCAACUACGUUACUAUGCGAUGAUGAGACAGAUACAGACCAAUUAUUAGUGAGGAUGACUUCACAUACGGAGGAACCACACAAUUCUAUCUAUUCUAUGAGCGAUCGGUGGCAAUGGAUUCCCCCACCACCAUCUUUCGACGUACGAGUGAGUGAGUGAGUACCUCUUGAUAUAUAGUUUCUUCCUUUUUCUCAUAUUAUAUGUAUGCAUAAAAUAUAAGCUAUGAUAUGAUUACUACGUACUAGUCAAAAAUCGAAUGAAAUAAGAUAGUUAUUACACCUUUGGAUGGUGAACACACUUUGUCCGGGAACAAAGAGCGGACGUCAACCUUUCGAUGGCUUUCUUGUUCUCCUCCGACAUGGGAGCAUACAGCAAGAGUAAGCAUCAGAAGAAGGUAAGCAGCAGAGGAGGGGAAACUUGAGGAAAGAGAAGCAGCCAUGGAUGUCUACUACCCAAGAAGAAAGAGGUUGUGGAGGGAGGCCAAAGGUUGUGGGAAUAUAUAUAUAAUACACGAAAAUAUCUUUGUUUACUCAAGUUGGGGAAGGCUUCAAGAAAUGGCCCUCUCUCUCUCUCUCUCUCUCUCUCUCUCUCUCAAUCACAUUUCUUGUUAGGCUGGCUACCGGUGGGGUGGGGAAAAACAAAUUAAAGAAGACUCAUCGGGUCCACAAGAGGUCCAAGUCCACUUACCCAAAUGGAAUCCAACAAGCAUGGCAAAAUGGAAGCGUCCACGCUCAAGCCAUAGAAAAUGGAGCCCGUUCGCUUGGUGGUCUCACUGUCGAUGGCACCCGAAACUUAAGUUUCCACAUGUCCUGACAACGAAGGGGGGGAAGAACACAAGGUCUAAUAUCAGAAGAUGUCACAUAUUUUUGACUCCGUCGCUAUAAUAUGGCUGUGGGUGGGUGACUACCUACAGUUCUUCGUUUCUUGUGACGACAGAGGGAGAAAGACUUGUAGUAGUCUUCUCUCGUAGAAGAGUAAGGAGAGACUUGCAUCGCAGAGAUGAUUAUUAGCUAGUGACGAACUAAUUAAUAAUGGUCAAAUUCAUAUUUUGAUUGGCUGUGUACGUACGCCACCUAAGGAAGGCUUCUUCUGGCUUGCCGGAUACGGCGAAGAUGGAUUUGGACUCUUUCUCCGGCCACUUGUGUGAGCUAUCAUCAUAUCUCUGGUCUCCUUUUUAAGUUGAAGUCAUUCCACCUUUAUCCAACCAGUAGGUUGCGAAUUAUUUUAAUAUAUUUCUAGAUUCCAUAGUGAAGUUAGGAGGCAGGAAACUAGUGCUGGCAUGGCAUGGCAUGAUAUUAGUUAAGACUUGAUAAGCUACACAUGGAAAUGCAGGAGCCAACUUUGACCAUCAUUCCUAGGGUCAAAUGAACCUUGACAAUGCCAGCCAACCUAAAUACAUCAUAUGAAUUAUCAUAUAUAUAGAUGUUAAUCACCAUGUAGGAGGAAUACUCCAUCAAAAAGUUAAACCUGCAAUUGGAUUCGAAAGUAUGAUUCCUGAACAAGAUAUCAAAAAUAAAGCCUUCAUCCGAGAAUAUAUAUAUAUAUAUAUAUAAAAUUCAAUCUUGAUUAAUUAUCAGGUUACACAGGUGGGAAACCCCUCCCUUGGCUCCGAGUCGCGAGGGAAAGCAAUAAUUACAAGAAGACGAUGGAUCAUUUUUUGCCCUCAUUAAUCUUAGGUUAUUCAUCUUAUAACUAGUUUGAUAGAUAAUUCAUGAUUAACCACCUUUUUUUCCAUAAUUGAAUGAUCGUUAUUAUGGGUAUCCAAAAUUAGUUUUUAUUUUUGUUAACAUGUUAUUACUAAGCAAGAACUCUUAUUAACAUAUUAUUUUUUAUUUGUCGCACUGGGUUAAUUAACUCAUUAACUUAUUGAGCUUUAACUAAGUCCGACCUAAUGACCCAAAAAUACUUAACCUAAUUUAAUGACCUGAGACCUAAAUUGGUAAUGGCAUGAAACACAUCAUAACAUGCCUUCAAACCCAUCCAUGUAUAAUCCAUCAUUAAUCUUAAUACUAGGUCAACUCUGAUACCAUUAAUCAUGAUCCGACCAUUGGAUCCCAUUAACUUGUUAAGCUUGAUCUCAUUCAAAACUAAGUCUAAGUUAAUGAUAGAAGACUUAUCUAAACUCUUAUAAAUCCAUUCAAAUCUUCUCUCACUUUUUGGUAUAAGACUAAGUCGGAAUAAUCUCCAUCACUUAAUUACAUCCUAGCUCUUCAGACCCAAUCCAAUGAUGACUACAAGUCAUCAUGUUCCAUGACAUGAGUCAUCAUAAGUAAUCAUUUUCAAUCUCAUUCAUGAGUAAUCAUUUCCUACUCAAGCCUCUUGUCAUUUUCAAUACUAGCUCAUCUUUAAUACCAUACAAGUUGUCAUAUAGAAUUGUAAAAUACAAUUAUAGAUAUAAAAACUAAGGGUGAUUUCCCUUUAAAAAGCUUCUCGUUUUACCUUUUUUUUUUUUUCAAAAGGUACUAAUAUUUUUAAUUUUUUAAAUGAUGCCCCAAAUUUCAAAUAAUACCCAAAAUAUCUCUAUACUAUAUCCAAUUGUACUAUGCUCGAUAAUCUUAGAGACUAUGGACCACCGAUCCAUAGGGUGCAAUGAUAAAAAAACAUUGUAAAGCCUACUUGAUAUAUAUGACUCAAAUGGAUUUUUAAUCUUAUCCAAACCAACUAUAAGUCUAAAAAUUUGAUAUUAUAAUGGUCUAGAAGCAACCGAAACCAAAGAAACAAUAUGAUGUCAUAUACAAUAUCUUUCAAUCAAUUUAUAGUGUUUUCAGCACCUCAACAAAAGCACUAUAAUGCUACUGAAAAACAAUACAAAUCAAAUGAAAUCAAAACACAAUAGAAACCAUUUAAUAUGUAGUAUUCGGAUAUUUAGGAAUGUCACAGAAAUGAGACCAAUUAUAAGCCUAAAAAGUUGCUAUCAAAAUGGUCUACAAGCAAUGACAACCAAAAGAAACAAUAUGACUUAAUUUGUUUUCAAUUUAACAAAAAUAUUGUAAUGCUAUUGGAAAAUACUAUAAGUGAGCCAAAUGAAAUAAAAAAGACACUAAACAAUUUGAUAUACUAUACUUGGAUUCAAAUAUGUAUUUAUGAUAGUUUAAAAAUAAUCACCCAAAUGAGGAUAAAAAAUUAGCUUAUUACAAUGUUUUAGCCACAACGAUAAAAUCAUUGUAUAGCCUACUUAAAAACACUAUGUCUGAUCCAUCCACUUUGACUAAUGCUCUGAUCCAUAGGGUGUCUUCAUGAUCAGAACAAUACAAUUGGGUGGGUGUAGUGUGUGGGUAUUUUGGGCAUUAUUCGGAACAUCAUCUUGGCAAAACAAAAACAGUCGACACCUUUUGGGAAAAAAAAGCAAAAAGGAAGAUUUUGUUUUUGGGAAAUUGCUCAAUUACUAAUUCUAGUUUAUUAUCUUAUUUAAUAUAACCUAAUAUUUUCAUCCCUUAUUUUCAAUUUAAUAAGAGAACCCCCCAAAAAAAAAAAAUCCUUUUUUCAUAAACUAUGACAUGAUAUCACAGCUUGCUACUGUAAUUAACUCAUCAAAUUCUUGCAAAUAACCUCUACCAUUAAUUUGAAAAUAUAAUAUGUGCACUGCCCAUCCUACAAUGAUUCUUUAUCCCAAAGCUAUAAAAUCUUCCAUUGAGCCACCUUAUUUUCUUUGCAUUCACCUUGUAGAACUUUCCUUCUCCACAAACUUGUAUAACAUACCAGAUAAUAUCAUAAGCUUAUCUUAUAAUAAAAUUGACAUGUUUUGACAGUAGUCCUAUGUGGAAGGGGUCUCAAUGCUCCAAAAUGGAAUUUGAUUUAAUGUAAUCUUCUGGAAUAUUACGAGGAAUAUAUAUCAGGAUUCAAGAAAGCAUGGAAGGAAGCUGUUCGUGUACUAUGACAGACUCAAACAUUUCUUUGUUUUCUCCACUCAUUAUCGUCAUGCAGUUUGUUAUUAUUCACAAGCUUUUGCUUGGCCCAAUGGUUUUUCAAAAUUUAUCCAUUUCACCGGAGUUAAUUAAGAAUUAUCUUAUUAUAGAUGAAUUCUAUGAUUCCUUUAUGAUAUAUUCGAUGUUAUUUUCAGAGAAGAUCGGAGCCUCUAGUUCGUAAGAACCUAAGUGAUAAAUUGAAACAUGAUUACAAAACUUGGUGAAAAUAUAUUGAGUUCCUAUCAAGGAUGUCGAUCGAAGCCUCUCGUGCAGUUAGGGAAAUCUUAUAUGUUAUUAUGCCCCCGUAAGAUUAAGCUCCUAUCAAGGAUGCCAAUCUUGGACCGAUGUAAUGAAAAUAGUUUACGGACGAGAAGCUUCAUGAGUGAGUUUACUAGUUGAUCAGUGGUAUGUACGUGAGAAACACGUAGUUAAUGUCUAACCACUUGAUCUCGCACGAAGUGAAAGUCGAUGACAAUAUGUUUCAUGUGUUAGUGAAAUACUAGAUUGGCGCAUAGGUAGGUGGCUCUAACAUUAUCAUAAUAUAUUGUAAGAGUAAGAGUAGAGUUGAUGUCAAGUUCCUUGAGCAGAUUUGUGACCCAAUUGAGUUCUGCAGCAGCGGUAGCGAUGUCAUGGUAUUCAGCUUCAGUUGUAGACUAUACGAUUGUCUUUUGCUUCUUAGAACUUCAACUAAUUGGAUUAGCUCCAUGAAAGACAAUAUACCCCGACGUGGAUGUUCUAUUAUCAAAGUUUCCUACCCAAUCAGUAUCAACAGAUACAUGAAGAUGAAGUUGAGAGUGUUUGUGAAGAAAAAAGUCUAUGAUUGAGGGUCCCUUUAAGAUAUCGCAAGAUUCAUUUGACGACAGACCAAUGCAUAGUAGAUGGACGAUACAUGACUCGUGAUAAUUUAUUAACUAUAAAUGAGAUAUCUGAACGAGUGAAAGCUAAGUACUGUAAGGAGCCAAGUACUUGUCAAUAUAGAGUAUCGUUCGUAGCAGAGCUUUCAUCGUAUAAUUUGAGUGAUUCACUGGUAGAGAGGGGAGUUGCAACAUCUUUUGUGUCAUGCAUAUUCGUUUUUAAUAAUAAAUCUUAAAUAUACUUUCUUUGCGAUAGGAAGAGUUUUGACGAUGUAUAUAUUGCUUCCACUCCCAAAAAGUAGCUCAAGGUUCCUAGAUCUUUGAGGGAGAAUCGAUUUGCUAAUUGUUGGAGGAAUGUCUUGAUCUCCAUAAGAUUAUUGUCCAUGACAAUAAUGUCAUCAGCAUACACCAAAAGAUAUAUAGUGCCUCCAUUUUGUUGUCGUAAAAAUAAUGAGGUAUUAGACUUGGAGUUGAUGAAGCUAGUUGAUGUCAAAAAUGAGCCAAGUUCGGUGUAUCAGACUCUUGGAGCUUGUCGAAGUCCAUAAGUAGCUUUGUGUAGUUUACAAAUAUAUCUUGGAUACUGAGGAUGGAUGAAGCUAGAAGGUUGUUGCAUAAAGAUGUCUUCAGUUAGAGUCUUUUGUAACGAAGCAUUGUUAAUAUCCAAUUGUCGUAAGUGUUAACUUUUUGUGAUGGUCAAAUUCAGGAUAAGUCGGAUAGUUGUGGGUUUAACAACGAGACUAAAUGUCUUUGUGAAGUCAACACCAGGUCAUUGACUAAAUGUCUCUUUGGCCACUAAACGUGCUUUAUAUCUAGUAACAGAUCCAUCUGAGUUACGCUUAAUUCGAAAGACCCACUUACACCCAAUGAUAUUUUGUGUGUGAUGAAAGGGUACAAAGGUCCAUAUAGAGUUAUGGAGGAGGGGAUCAUAUUCUUCACACAUGGCUUUACGCCAAUGUGGAGAUUUUUGGGCUUGAGUGAUUGUGGUGGGUUUAAUGAACUUAAGAGGCGAUUUUGUGAUAGCAUGAAGGUCAAGGAGGUGAUGCGGUUUGAAAAUAUCACUUUUGGAGCGUGUUGUCAUUGGAUGCCCAUGGGUUGUGGGAUUGUUAGGUUCGGUUGUAGGUAUAAGUGGAGGGGAGUUAGUGACACAGGCUUGGUCAGGUUGAGGUACUUGAGUGUUAUUGGGUCCAGGAGAAGGUAAAGAUAGUGGUUGUAUUUUUUAGGACAUUGCUUCAUCAAAUAAGGUGAACUUGUAAAGAAGGGAAUGAAGAAAUAGUGGAGGGAGUGAGGAGCUACUGAAUUGGAGUAACAAUAGAGUGUGGAUCCUAAGGGGAAGGACUGAACGAUGUUGUGAGAGGCUUAUUUGACGGGAUCAGAGGUAUACUCUAGUGAUGUAUGUUUAUUGGAGUGGCUCGGGGACUCAUGGUUUUAAAAAAGAAAGGUAGACUCCACAAAAAUAAUGUGACGUGAUAUAAAAACUUUUUGAACUUGAGGGUCAUAGCAUCAGAAAACAUUAUGUUUAAGAGAGUAUCAUAUGAAAAUACAAGGCUUAAAUCUUGGUGUUAUCUUAUGUGAGACAAAGGGACAUAGCCGUGGAUAACAUAGAUAACCAAAUACUUUUGAGUUUCUUAGAAGUUUGUGAAAUAGUUUUUUCAAAUGAUGACUGAUAUUGUAGGACUAGAGUGAGUAUACGAUUAAUAAGAUAGACUGUAGUUUGAAAUAUUGUUGACCAAAAGAUUGAUGGCAUAGAGGCUUGAUGUAGAAGUGUAAGACCAGUUUCAACUAUAUGACGAUGUUUGCAUUCGGUAGAGCCAACUAGUUAAGGAGUAUGUGUGGGUGACUUGAGGUGUUUAUACCACUAGCUGAAAGGUAGGAUAUGAGGGCUUAAUAUUCACCUCCGUCAUCAGAGUAAAUUAUUUUAAUUAUAGAUUGAAAUAAGUUCUCCACCAACUUUCUAAAGUCGGUAAAGAUUAUUGAAACUUUAGAUUUAUGAUGGAGAGGAUAUAACCAUGUAUACUUAGCAAAAUAGUCUACGAAAAUGACAAGAUCUAAACUUAUCAAAAUAAGUGGUUGGGGUAGGGCCUCAAACAUCGGUAUAAAUAAUUUCAAACGGUUUAGAGUAAGAUAUAAAUGAUGUUCUAAAAAAUAGUUUAUAACUUUUAGUGCUAAGACAAGCAUCACAAUGAAUUAUAAUGCUACUUGUUUUAAAAGUAGAAAGAGAAUAACGAAAAAAUAAUUUAUGUUGGAUAGAGGAUGAGAGAUGAUCAAGACGACGAUGUCAUACAUCAAUUGGAGCUACAACUCAAAAAGUAAACAGUGGGCUGGGUUAUUUGUGGAGCUAACAACCACUCGUAAAUGUUAUCUUUAUUCUAGCAUUAAAUCAAGGAUGCCCCAUGCUCAAAUCCUUGAGAAGAAAAGAGUUAGGAAAGAAUUCAAUUGAAGUAUUAUUUUGUUUGCAGAAUUGAGAAACAAAAAUUAGAUUUCUUUUAAUCGAUAUACACAUAGAACAUCAUCGAGUGUAAAAGUUAUAGUAUGUGAAUUAAGCAUUGUGGAACCAGUAUGAGUAAUGAGGAUUAAUUUAUCGUCACUGAUGAUGAUGUCUUCAUUUCCGCCAUAGUUGUUGUGGAUGGACAAAUUCUAUAGAUAAGAGGUGAUAUGAUGAGAGGCGCCAGAGUCCAUAAUCCAAUUAUGUUGACUAAUAGUCGGAGUAGUUAUGAGAUUCGCUUGAGGCCAAUUUGAUGAAGCAGGAACUUUGGGUCGAGAUCGAUAAACUUUUGUGGAGUGUCCAACUUUAUCACACAAUUGGCAAACGACUCUUUGUUAGUUUGUGUGGUCAGGACACUAGGGUUGAUGAUUAUUGAAGUUGCCACAUUGAUAGUUAUUAAAGUUGUGAUUAAAAUGUUGAUAAUGUGGAUGAGGGGAGGUUUGUUUGGCACCCAUAGGUUCAAGAGGCAUCUUGGCUAAACCUUUGUUGAUGUUCUUGUUAUACCGAUUGCUUUUCCUCUUGAAUUUUUGACUGACUUCAGUUGUGAUGUUUGGUUCUGGCAACCCAUCAUCGUACUUUAAAUAUGUCUCAUAGUCAGUCAAUUUGUCAUAGAGUUCUUCGAAUGAUAUCGGUGAGUCACUGCCUAAAUUGUUGUUACUAGUUCCUUGUACUUAUCUCCUAGGCCCUUGUGGGUGUGGACUAUUACUUCUUUGUCACUGACGGAAUGACAUAUCAAAGCUAAGUCAUCGGUGAUAACUUAUGUAUUUUAUAGAUAAUCAACAAUAGUACUUCCCUCUUGUUUUAUUUUUAUUUUAUUUUUAUUAGACUAGAUAUGAGACUAAGCAUGCGAGUACGCAAGCGACUUGUUAAGAUGAUUUGCAACUUGUACCAUGCUUCUGCAAUAAUAUCAUAUGAAGAUAUGAGUGGGCUGAUGGAUCCAACAACCGAGGCUUGAAUUGCUUGGAGGAUGAGAUGAUCUUGGCAUAACCACAGUUUGUGGGUCGGAUUUGGUACUGGACUAGGUUUUCCUGUGAUGUUGAUCAUCACUGGUGGACAAUUGAGAGAGUCGUCAAUGUAGCCUAGUAGAUCAUAUCCAAAUAGGAGAUUAAAAAAUUGUGUACAUGAAGAUGCGUAGUUACCGCCUUUGGAUAAUUUGAUGGGGAUUAUAAUUGUAGCAUUGACGGAGAUAAGACUUGUACGUUGAAAAGUAUUAUGGUUUCUUGCGGGGACAUUAAUUGGAGCAUUAGAGAUUAAUUGGAGCAUUAGAGAUAGGCGAUGAAGACAUUCUGAGGAUAAGUACCGAUCUGAGGAAUCUAAGUUGAGAGUCUGCGGCAGAUCAGCAGGGAGUCGCUUCUUGGGCAGGUGGUGGCAUUGGUGAUGAUCAGUCUCGAUUGCCUCUUGAACUAAGCAAUAUUGCAAUCCCCAGAUGAGAAGAAGCAAUAGUAGAUCUCAACAGACCUUAGCAGAGAUCUAUUGGUGGAGGAAGAAUUGACAAGUUUAUGCUACGACUACAGAUCUGUGAGAGAUCUGCAGUUCUUAUCGUAGAUCGGUGAGAGAACUGUAGUUUGUGUCAUAGAUCUAUGUUGCGGCUGCAACUUCUGUGAGUCACAAGGAGGGAGAGUGCUAGGGUGCGAUGGGGCGAAGAGCAUGACGUGGCUGGAGAGGCAGGGCGACGUUUCUUCCUCCUUUCCGCUUCUCUGUUCCAUGGCGACGAGGGCAUGAUAGCACUGUAAGUAGUAGUGUAUUGUAAGUUCACAAGCUCACUAUGAACAGCGGCAUCUUCGAGUGAGAAAUCGACCACAGUAAGGAGAAGUUAUGCUUUUGCAGGAACGACGAUGGGAUGUUAGGGGUAGAUGAGCGAUUGGAGUAGAAGACGGAGGCGCCGCAAAAGCAAUUAAGGUUCUUCGUCGGGAGGUGGCAGGACUCGAUGAGGAGCGAUUGCUAUCGUCGGAUAGCGAGAAGAGAGCUUGGUCUAAGCAAGAAGCUCUGAUAUCAUGAUAAAUUGGAACGUGAUUACAAAACUUGAUAAAAGUUUAUUGACAUGAUUACUAUUUAUACAUGUUAACGAGAUAUCUUCGUGCAGAUCAAUGAGAUUUCUUCGUGCUGGGAAAAUCUUAUAUGUUAUCACUAAGAGUGGAUUUUAUUCAAGAUUAGCCAGAUAUAGAUCUUCCUUUCUUACUCUCAUUUCUAGCCAAUGGAGAUCAAGAACUGAAUUAACGAAGAACAGAAUAAAUGUAAUAUAAAGAUUACAAGCAUACAACUGAGUAAAUUUAAAAUACAGAUUAGAUGCAAGCAAGUGGUGUGAUUCAUGAAAGAGGAAACAGAACUCAGCAAAUGGAAUAAGGUGACCAACAGAAAACCAAGAAGUUUUCGGCUUCAAGAAUCAUUAAACCAAGAAAUCAAGAAUAGAGAUUGAAGCAUUUAGUAAAGAAAAUUCAGAAUUAUUCCUUUUUUGAGCAAUCUGGAAAGCAGAAACCAGUGACAUCUGAUCCAAGAAUGUGUUUCGUCUUUUACCUGGAAAUCGAUCUGUGAUGCCUCUGAAGAGGAUCUCGAUCAAGAAGCAGGGAUCUCCCGCUCUGCUGUCGGAAAGGCUUCCUUUCCAACGUGCCGAGAUGGGAAAGAAAAUCUUACCGACGCCACGAUCCUGGAGGACGGCCGGGCUGCUUGACGCAGUGGUGAUGACCCUAGUUGUUGAGUACUGCUUCGAGGAGUGGCCGCAGGACGAUCCAUCCAGUCCCCCGCCGCCGUCGCUGCUGCAUUUGCCGCUGCCAUCCCCGGCUGCGGACGCGGAGACCGCAAUCUUCGGCCCUUUCUGAAGCUGCGUACGCAUAGGGAUGCAAAAGGAAGUCGGUGCGGAAUGGUCCGGUUCGCUUGCUUAGAGUUUUGAGUUUUGGUUCGAUCCCCGCGGUUCGUCUUGGAGCUCGACAUCUCCGGCCGGAAAGCCGACCGGAGCGCGGAGUAUGAGGUCGGAGGCAGCCAGCUGAUGACCAUGCCGGAGACAAUGAACGUUCCGUGUUUGGAGAACACAGUGGAUGUAGUAAGACGUGGAAGACUCUGCCGCCGACGGUUCCAGCUAUCAAGUCGAGGUAGUAAGAUGUGGGGUAGCCGUCGCGGCCGAACGUCAAGUAGCCCGCGGAGCUCGAUUUCGACAGCAGGCAGUAGGCGAAGACUCCGCCGCACUUUCCGUCGGCCUGCAUGACCAGCGACGUCCUGUCGCGGCCGAGGCCGAGGCCCAGCAGCCCCGCAAGCUUCCCGAAGAAUCCGCGGUUCCUCUGGCCGCACCCCAAAGGAAAAUUGGGAAUUACGUCGGCGGAGGUUAGCGUGAGCUUGUCCUGGGCGAAGAAGCCGAUGGUGUAGUACUUGUGGCCGUACUGCCCCCCGUAGAGGCAGGUGGACGAGCUGCAACCGGAGACGUCGAGGUCGGAACAGUAGCGGAGCUGCAUGAGAUGCCGGAGUACGUAGACGAGCGAGUGGGCGUCGAAGAUAGGCUUUUGCUGCCGGUGGCAGUAGGAGGCGCAUGGCCGACACUGGAUCCAGGUGAUGACCUCCUGCUUCAUUCAUAAAUAAUUAUUUCUUAUUCGAAUCAUAUUCGAUUCAGAAUAAUAAUUAAUUUAUUAAUUUUAUUGAAGUUCAAUCAUUAGUGCAAAAUCUUUAAAUCCAAAUUAACCACUUUACUAUUGUAGACUUGUUAAAUCAGGUGUGUUACGAUAUUAGAUUUCAUAUGUUAUAAUUGGAUGUGUCAAAUAUUAGAUUCCAUAUGUUAUAAAAGGAUGUAUUAAUUUUCUGAAUCUAAAAUGAUAUGAUCUAAUAUAUUUAAUUUGAAAUUAAUAAGAUAUCCAUCUAAUAUUUAUAAACUGAUUUAAAUCGGGGAUGUAAGAUUAAAUAGAGGUGUUACACUAAAACAAAUCUGGCCGACGCUACGGUGAUGGUGGUGGUGGUGGAAGGGGGCGGGGGGUGUAGUUGUUGAGGACUGCUUCGUGGAUGGUAUACCGGUGUCGCCGCCGCCUGCCUUCGCCGCCGCCGUUCCAUGCUGCGUCUGAAGCUGUGUACGAAUCGGAACGCACGAGGGAGGCGACGGUCCGGUUCGUUCGCUUAGGGUUUUGCGGUUUUGGUUCGAUUCCAAUGGCUCGCUAAGACCGGUUCGGAAGCUAUUAGCUCUCUCUCUCAUUCCUAACUUCGGCUAAUUAAGACCGGUUCGGAACCGAACCGGAGUGGAACGAAGACCCGGCAAUUAAAGCCGACAGUUCCUCGUCAGGCCUCGAGGCAAAGGCGACGCCGCUGCGGCUCUCCCCCGAGCUUGGCCGCUCCUCCGUGUAGGGCAAACGAUCUCCUUUGCACCGCUUCGAAACCUCAAGCUGGAGUCUUAUCUCCCUCUUUUGAAGAGGUUUCUUCUUGGUCCACUUUGUUACCUUUCUGUGCUUUUUAUUUUCACAGACUGAAUUUAGUUUUGCGACGUUUUGAUCUUCUCAUUCGAACAUGCUGUGUUUUGCUGUAUCAAGUCGACAAUUUUCUGCCGAAUCGAUAUUGUAAGGCCGCGCUCAAUCUUGACUCUGAUAGUAAUAAGCUUCUGUGUACUCCGGAUGCUGGUUGAUUGAGGAAUAACGAAUAAACGAUCCGUGGCGAGUGCUAUCAGCUCUUUUGGGAUUCAAAAUUGAUUGGUACAGUAUAAAUCAUCAGAACAUUUCUGCUUUGUUGGAUAUGAUUCUGAUAAAAUGAUUGUAUAGGCUUGUUCAUGGAGGUCAUUAAAAGCUGGAAUUUUGAUGGCAGAGGGGUUGAAGGAUUUAGGUUCCUACGGCUUCAAUCACGUCAGUCUGCGAAAAUAAAUAGGAUUGGAAAAUGCUAGAGACGUAAUUAACUUUCUUUUAAUUACUUUGGAUCCGUGGAGAUAACAAUGUCUUUCAGAGAAGUGAGAUAAAACAAGUUGUCAAAGGAUCAGUGAUUUUUCCUUUGAUUACGUGAUUGGUGUAUGACUAUGUGUCAAACGUUAGCUGCCUUUAGUUUCACCUAAUGUUCUUUUGCAAAUUACAUGUGCCCAUCUUCAACGUAAAUGACGAUGUUAACAUUAAUGGGUUAUCAAUUGUUCUAAAAUUGUUCCUACACUCAUUUUCAAACUAUGUAACCAUCCAUAAAUUUCUUAGUGUCUUAUUCCUUGAUAUCGCAUCUUGUAACUUGUGGGUGACCUGGACAUUUGUCAAAUUGAAUAUGGGCAUAUAUAGGUCUGUCUUUGAUUUAGAAUCUAUUAGCCUUCCCUUUUCAUGAUCAUAUUUGGGGUUAGAGAUAUCGGUUAUUAGACUUUUUGUUGAUUUAAUGGUGGUUUGGUAUGUUUCUAUUGGAGCAUCUAAGUACACGUAUGUGCAUGGAUUUCAUUUAGAAUUUUCUCUAACAUCAUUUUCUCCUAGGAUACUCGUUUUUAGUUCCUUUGAUUACAGAGAAAUGCUUUGGUCUAGAACUCACAGGAGGACAUCUGUAGUUUCCAUAUGACCAUAUUCAAGCAUUCGUCCGGCAUCUUGUUUGUUUAAAAUGAGAUCACUGCUGUCAUAAGUAUAUGCUUCUUUUAUUAAAUUUUUGCACAAAAGCAUGUUCUCUUUAAUAUUAACUGCCUCUAAAAGAUGGCUGUCAAUUGGAGCCUCUUAUAGUUUUCCAUGUGUGUCUAUUAUAUUUGCCUUUUGUAUUACUCAUUGAAUUUCAUGAUCAUAAUCCUUAGGAACUUUUGACUGAAAGUUGUCAUGUUUACUGGUUUCUUCUGGUAUUAUCUUUUCAAGCAUGUUUUGGAGUACUGGGUCGUUUGGUGUAUUUUAUCUGGAAUUACUUUGUCUGUGUUCGACAUGUUUUCUGUGUUGUUACAUGUAGGUGCUGCAAAUUCUUGGGUUGUUUAACUCUCAUCACCAUUUUCUAGAAUAAUUUAGGUUUGCUUACUAAGAGCUACGUUGCCAUUCUGGAUAGGAUUUUGGAGAUGCGUUGCUGUCAAAUCAAAGUGAUUAUUGACUCACCUGAAUGUCUGUAAUUCUAGAAAAUUCUUUGAAAUGCCUUGAAAGAUGCACAUCAUUGAGAUCACUGCAGCAAGUACAUGCUCAAAUAUUCCUCAAUGGGUUUAAUCGUGAUAAUUAUGUGGCAGUCAAGCUGAUAACCUUUUGCAAUAAAAAAUUGGGCGAGAGAGGUUAUGCUCGCAUGAUAUUCAACAGCCUUAUUACUUCUGCAAAUGUUUUCCUUUGGACAGCAAUUAUCACAUCUUACUCGAGCUAUCAAUCAGAGGUAACCAGAGAAGCAAUUAUAAUAUACAGAAUGAUGCAUCAAAAGGGAUCUCAUCCAAAUCAUUUUACACUGUCCUCUGUGCUCAGAGCAUGCUCAUUUUUGAAGGCCAUACAAGAAGGCAAUCAAAUUCAUGGUCAUUCUACUAAACUUGGAUUUAAUUCCUCCAUUUAUGUCCAAGCAACAUUAGUGGACUUGUACACAAAGUUUGGUUGGACCCAAGAAGCUUCACGACUGUUAGGGACUUUCCCUGAAUAUAACAUUGUGUCGUAUAACACGGUGAUCACAAGCUAUAUUAAGGCUGAUAAUAUGAAAGCUGCACGAGACCUUUUUGAUGAGAUGGCUGACAGGGAUUUGGUCUCGUGGAAUCUUAUGAUAUCUGGCUAUGCAAGUCGUGGAGAUACACCAAGUUCUAGAGAACUCUUUGAUCAGAUGCCAGAAAGAGAGAUUAGUUCCUGGAAUGCACUAGUUGCUGGGUACUGCUGUAAUGGAGAAUGGGAUGAAGCUAUACAACUUUUCAAGGAAAUGUGCUUAGCAACUGUAAAACCUAACCAUAUCAGCAUGGCCAUAUUGAUGUCUGCUUGUGGACAUUUAGGAACAUUAGAAAUUGCAAGACAACUGCAUGGAUUCUUGGAGAAAAGUUGUAUUGAAAUGAACUGCUAUGUGUUCAAUUCAUUGGUUGACAUGUAUGCUAAAUGUGGCAACGUAUAUGAGGCUUUUCGGGUGUUCUCUGAGAUCCCAAUCAAGGAUGUGGUGUCAUACAACAUAAUUAUCCUAGGAUUAGCCAGUCAUGGGCUUGGGGAAGAUGCCAUAAAGUCUUUCUCUGAAAUGCUAGAUGCAGGGAUCCAACCGGACACAAUCACCUUCCUGGGCAUCUUAAGUGCAUGCAGCCAUGCUGGACUCAUCGAAAUUGGGCAUAGAUACUUUGAAUGCAUGAGCAGAGAUUAUGCAAUUGAGCCAUCUGCUGACCACUAUGCUUGCAUGGUUGAUCUAUAUGGUCGAGCAGGACUAGUUGAAGAUGCAUAUGACUUGGUAAAGCGUAUGUCAAUUAAACCACAUGCAGGUGUUUGGGGAGCCUUGCUGAAUGCAUGCAGGAUACAUAGUAACAUAGAUGUUGGAAGAGUUGCAGCUCAGGAACUAUUUCGGAUUGAGCCGGUAAAUCCUGGUAAUUAUGUCAUUCUAUCUAAUCUGUUUGCUAGAGCCCAUUUGUGGGAUAGGGUUGCUGAGAUCAGGCGCUUGAUGAGAGGGAAAGUGCCCAAAACAGCAGGCUGCAGCUGGAUUGAGGUUAAUGGUCAAGUUAAUGAGUUCUUGAUAGGAGAUGCAACACAUCCACACAGCAAGAGCAUCCAUGCUGUAUUGCGGCAUCUGUCUUUGCAGCUGGUAUAGGUAAUAUCAGCUUGAUCCCAAUGUUGAGUUAUACAUUUUGAUGAAGGUUGGGUACUCUGGUCAAUCAGUCACGAGAAUGCAGCUGGGUAUAAACUUCUAGGAGAUGGACAAAGUUUUACAUGGUUCAGAGUCAUCUUGACGAUGGUUGACUUGGAUGAUAUCUUUGUUACAGGACUUCCUGCCACCAAUUGCUCCCAUUACAAUACCUUCACUUAAUGAGCUCCUGAGGAAAACAUUGGUAAUGCAUGAUUAAGAGAAGGGAAUCUUCUUGAGCCGCACCUUCUUUAUCAAUACUUGUGGAAGGAUCAUUGACAUCUAGAGCUGUUCUGCAAAUCGAUGGGAUCAGCAAGAAUUGGUAAGUAGCCUGAGGAUGACUUGACGUGGAUUAUUCAUGGUUAGGGGGUAAUGGAAUCAAUCUUCUUGAGUUGCAUGUUCUCUGUUCAACAGUUGGGGGAAGGAUCACCAGCUCUUGGAGCUGUUUUGUGCAGUAAUGGGUCAUGGUAUCAGCAUCAGAAAGGAUGGCUGAGGAGAUGGAUGGCAAGGGAACUUUAUGGGCAAGUCAUGCGGGAUUCUUCCCUUCACAGAGAGAGAGAGAGAGACAGAUGAACCCCCAGGAGUUUGUCACCUUGUGACAGGGGAAUAUAUCACUGUCUUGUUGAUAAGAAGAGGAUUUUGGUGCAAGGAAGCGGAUAGCUGUAAUGGCAAUGAGUGGCUGCUCAAUGGCACCCUGAUUUCUUUUUGCCUUCAAGGAAUUUUUUGCAUAUUUUUUUUUCAAAGAUUAUAAAUGCAGUAUUUGACCUUGUAAAUUUUGUUAUCUUAACAUGUAUCUCUCCCAUUAACACUCAUUGAGAAAAACUCAAUCUUAAUGUGACAGAACUGCAGUCAACAUUAGCUCCACUGAGUUGAGAAAUAUUAAAAUGCCUAAGAUGUUCUUAAUAUUUAUGUUUAUCAUAAUAAAUGUAAGAGAAUACUAAUGCCGUUGGAAGUUCGAAUUAGUUAACGACGAAGAUUAAUCAUAAUGAUAUAUAAGUUUUUAGUUGUUGUGCUGAUGCAUAUGCUAAGCAUAAAUUUAUAAAAACAAAUGCCAAAGUCACUCUUUUUCUAAGUUUUCUCAUUUUUACUCUUUCUCUGUACAACAGUUCUCAAUUUAUUUCUGACUAUAUACAUAAUGUUUGUAAUGAUCAUAUAAUAGAAAUAACUUAAUUAGCAAAGAUUUUGAUAAUUUAUUCUAAGGUUGUUUGAAUCAUAUUUUUCACUACUUAUUCUUUGAAAAAAAUUAUUGUCUAAUUCUUUUUAACAUAAUAGAUAUUGUAAUCCAAGUUCCAAAAAAAAAUCAUAUAUUAGUCAAAGAAAUAAAGAAAAUUCAUUUUGGAUACAUAAAUAAUGCAGGAGAUGCAUUUUAGAAAAAAAAAAAAAGAAACAUCAAGAAUUUUUUAAAAAUUAGAAAUUUUUUAUAAAAAUUCUGAAACAUUUUUUUUAUAAAAAAUAUUUUAGUUGUGCAUUAGAUAAAUCCACAAAGGAACCCUCAAAAGACAUCUUGUUCAUCAUAAUUAAUGGAGAUAAAUCAUGAGAAAUAAUGUCACACAUAAGUCUCAGAUUGUGCGUGCAAAAAGAGGUUCUCUUAUUUAAUUAGUAAUUCUUUUUUUUUCCCUUAGGGUUAAAAAUGAUCUGAAGCACACUUCAUGAUGAUGAUGAUGAUGAUGAUGAUGAUGCAUGCAUGCAUGCAUAUGUGGCCUUGCAGUGAGAAGAAGCGUUCAUCACAUAUCUUAAGUAAUGGGAAGCUGCAUGGUCUUGGUUCAUGUUUUCUUGGAUACCCCAAAAUGGUUUGACUUUGCUGGUUCUGCAAGCAGCGUUAGGUGAGGAGAAAGGCAGAGAGCAACAUGGCGGAAGCCAUUAAAGACAGAAGCAGACAAGGAGUGAGAGGAACAGGUUGAAGAAAGGCGAGGGCAGAACAUAAACCCUAAUAAUUACAGUACAUGGGGACAACAAUCAAUCGCGUGUCACCUCUCCCUGUCUACAUUGUACCGAGCGUGUGGGCUGCUUGUAUUAUAUAUAUAUAUAUAUAUAUAUACAUAUAUUGAUAAGUUUCUUUUAUCUUCAGCAUUUAAUAUAUAUAUAUAUGUCAUGUUAUGAUAAUAAAGCUUUCAAACGAGAGAGUAGGACAGCCUCCAAAGAACCCUAGGAGAGCACCUUGAUCCAAUGUGAGGAAGUAAAAAUACUUGCAUAUACACAUUUCUCUUUAAUCUUAUCUUUUUUUUUUGUUGCAAACAAUUUUAGCCCUUAUAUUGACUUAAAUUUGAAAUCAGUUUUUGCAAAUAAUGUCUUUAAUUAUUCUUCAAUCCUAAUAUUUUAGCACUUGUGCCUUUGAAAAUCUCAUAUCAGUGCACUCCGGUUUCUGAACAUAUGAUGAUUUGGAUCCCUGAAAUAUGUAGAUUAAGCAAAAGUUUGUGUGUGAGGGUGUGUUGUUUAACUUUCCUAUGGCCUCUGGAGCUUAGAAGGUAGCAGUAGAGAACUCUAAGAAGAAGUUGGAAGUCGGAGAAUGCUUAUGCCAUUUAGCUCAUCUCUUUCUUCUAUCCAUUCCAUCAGACAUGUAACCUGUGACCAGUUACUGCUGCAACUCACUUCGGCAGGCCUAAAGAUCUCUGCACUAGUGAGGUCGGAGCUUCAUUUGUUGGAAGGGAUUGCUAUGUUAGAGAUUGGAGAUGAGAGUGACAGAACCAACAAGUGGGCUUCUUUUUGCGUAUGCAUCGGUGUUUCUCUUUUCAUUGAGCUAAUUACUCUCAGGGCUUUUCAUAAUAGGGUGUCAUCCUUUGGUCCCCAUGUGUUCUUGAGUGUGUUGCCUUUUCCUGCCUUGAACUCCACUCAAGACUUCUUCCUCAACCUCUCUCUUUUUCUCUCUCUCACAUUCCAAAGUUAUUAUAUAUUUUGUUUGGCGAACACACUGCUUUACUGAUCCAAGGUUUCAUGUUGGGUGGGGGCAGUGGUGCAUGGAGCCGAGUAAAGGAAUGGACGCUGGAAGAAGUAAGGUGAGGAAGGACAGGUUAUAUUUUAUGGAGAGAGAGAGAGAGAGAGAGAGAGAGAGAGAGAGAGAGAGAGAGAGAUAGGGAGGGAGAUCCGAAGAUAGAGAAAAAGGUGGACUUUUAAGCAUGUCAAAUCAGUGCACCCAAAGAGAGGUAAAAUUCAACAAAGAAGAACAAGUUAUAUUUGUUUGGUUGUUUGAUGGGGGCAUUGUGAUCCCCCUCAGGGCUCUUUUUCCAUGCCAUUUCGCGUUGGCAUGUUCUGCAGCUGCCUGUUCCCAUUAACUUCUCCUUUUCCCUUCUCCUGAUGCAGUUCGGGGCAGAGGGAUGAGCUGCAGAUUCUCUUUCUGUUUUGGGAUGAGAGCUCUUCAGUUUCCACCAGUAAGAUCUGCUCCACUUCUUUAUGCUGGCUGGUUGUAACACAAAGGAAAAGGUCUCCUCCUCUUCCUAAUCUCCUCCUCUCUAAUAACUACAUGGAUAUAUAGAUUCAAAGAGAUUUUUUCCUCCUCCUUCUUCUUCCUGGCCAUGGUCUUCAGGUGAGCGAAAAGAUGGGGAAGAAAAAGAUUUUGGAGGCUGUUGUUGCUGUGGGUGAGGAGUCAGAAGUUGCGUGCAUGUCCUAAGCAUGGUGGCAAGUUAGGCAUGUUAAUGAGUGUUAUGAUCAAAGGGAUCUCUUCAUGAUGAGGGGCAGAUGUUGGUGGAUUGCCUUAUCUGGGGCUGUGGCUCUGAAACAUUCCAUCCAUUUUGUCAAAUGGCCUCUCUCUCUCUCUCUCUCUCUCUCUCUCUCUCUCUUCUUUCUUCNNNNNNNNNNNNNNNNNNNNAGAGAGAGAGAGAGAGAGAGAGAGAGAGAGAGAGAGAGAGAGAGGUAAGGAUUUGAGAAGAAAGGGUGUGGGUUUGACAGGCGAAGCAUUGUAGUAUUCCUGCGGUAUCAGAAAAUUCACCGUGUUAUGAUGUUUUUAGUAAUUUAAAAAAAUAAUAUUAUAAUGCGACAUAUUAUUUUUAUAUAAAUUUUCAAAGAAUAUCAUAUUUAUAAUUAUUGUCAAUAAUACUAAAAAAAUAUAAUAUGAUAUUUUUAUAUUAUGUUAUAGUAUUUUUAUAACGUAAUACUAAAAUAUUAUUAUAUAAUAUUUAACAUUUUUAUAUUGUAUUUUUAAUAUUACUGAAAUAUUAUAAUUAUAUCAAUUCAUCAUAUAAUCAAUCUAUUGAUAAUAGUAAAAAGAGAUAAAUGGUUGGGUGUAUUAGUUAAAAAAUUUAUUAUAAAAAAAUUUAAAAAAUGAGGGAUAUUUGCGAAGAUAGAUUUUUUUUUUGUUGUUGAAAAUUCGUCCCAUCUUUAUUUGCUAUGAAUCAGAAAAUAAAUAGAUAAAUAAAUAAAGAUGACCUGUCGUCGGGGUGGGUGAUGAGAGAGAGGUCUCUCUCCUCUGGGGAUUGUGUGUGUGUUAAGACAUACUUCCCACGCUCCAUCGGGCACGUGGGAGACGACGAUGUGACGUUGACGAGUCGCACACGUGUGCAAUGUGGCAGGAGACACAGCACGCGCUGUUGCGUCUCCCUUCGCUGCUUCAGGGAGCGCAGCAGCGCUGCUGCAUUCAGUGGUCCGACCGCGUGGCCUCGUCGCGUCUCCUGUUAUUAUUCCACGUCCAACACCCAACUCUGAGAGGAAGGAGUUAUUGCAUCCCCUACUUCCUUCUCUUUCCUUCUACAUAAAUGUAUUUGUUGGUGUUGAUGGAUGAUAGUUAGCAUAAAUAUUUUUAAUAUUAAUAAUAAAUUAUGAGAUCCAAUCUUACAUGACAUUCAUUAUAGGAUGACAUAAUUGAUAUAUUAGCUUCAUUAAAUGAUAUUAAUUUUGUUAACUCUAAAUUUGACUUCAAAUAUUACACUAAAAUCAGUAAUAAUUCACCUGACAGACAUUCAUAAGUCAAUUUUAAUACCAAUUCCAUGAGACAAAACUGGUAUAUAUAUAUAUAUAUAUAAACUGAGCAGAAAUUGAAAACACCACUCAAACUUCAACCCUGACAGCAGAACUGAGACAUAUAGAAAAUGCCCAGUGAAAAAUCUGCACGUAUGAUUUCCAAUUCCGAACUAUUAUACAUUCAGAUCAUGCCAUGAGAGCUCAGUUUGAUCUUUUAGGGUCUUCAAAUACAACAUGAAGGAGAAGGAUUGUUAUUCUUAGUUCUCAUAAACAUAUUACACAUCUCAGUUUGGAUUCGAGGUGGGGGUGCUGUCAACCCAUAGCAUACUUCUGCGUCCAUGCUCGAGCUGUCUCUUCGUAUUGAGACCUCUGCAUCUUGUACGUGUGGGCGAUCUCAGGGACGAGAGGAUCGUCAGGAUUGGGGUCUGUAAGAAGGGAGGAGAUGGAGAGGAGGACCUUUGAUAUCGUCAGUGCAGGGCUCCACUGCUCCUUGAGGAUGUCGAGGCAGAUGCUUCCGUUCGAGUUGAUAUUGGGGUGAUAAACCUACAAUGAUUGACAUCCAGAAUUAAUAAAGUGCUUUUUUUUUGGCAUCAGCAAACUUGUUUCAGCUUUAAAGUUAUAGAUUUCACAGGCAAUCAAUUGAUCCAAAGCAAAAUCUAACAAGCGUACGAUGACCAUGUGGUUCAAAUUCCUCUGAUACUUUAAUCUCAAAGGUAUAAGAUAAUUUGAUACAAUGGCGCAGCUAGCAAGAUAUACCAAACCAAAAACAGAUAAUUUGAUCAUUGAUUUAUUAAGAACUAUUUAUAUUUUUUCCUGUUGAGCAUCCAAAUGCCCAAUAACACGGCAAAAAACCUUCUAGCUAACUGAGAAUAUGUAGAUCUCAGAAAGGAGAAGAAAGAAAAAGAAACCACUACAUACUCCUACUUGAUAUUAGGUCAACCAGAAUGCCGGUUCCGUUUCGAUGUACCAAUAGAGAUAUGCACAAUCAAGGCCCAUGAAUGAAGCACCCAAAAAUUUCUGGUUUAACCAAUAAAUACAAACUUCUAAACAAACAAGAUCUUAAAAUUACUCAUUGUUAGAAAGUGUGCCUCUUAAUGUUGUUCCACAAAUAUCCACCAUAAGAAUUCGAUACAUUGAGAAAUUAAAAGCAGGAUCAUAACAUGAAAACACAUAAAAUGACUAAUGCAAGCAUUACGUCUCUACAGCUAGCUACUUAUUAAUGUCAACAAAGUACAAUAUUAACAUUCCUCUUUCAGCAGCAGACAGCAAAUGCUGCUUUUAUCUAUAGAUUAUUCUACAAUGCUCUAGUUUCUGUAACCAUACAGGUGAGUUUCAAGGAACUUGAGUAUGAAAAAUGGUUUUUAAUCAGAAUUGAAUUCAAUGCAAGCGCUCCAAGUAACUAAAAUAAGCAUGUAAAAUUCCAUGUGAAGAAAUGUUAGAAAGGUUAAGGACUUCGAUUUUAUGAUUUAUGAGUUGAAAGCAUGACAUAGUUAGAAAUACUUGUUAAAAGCAAAUGCAGACAUUUAUGCAUAUCACAUAGCAAUUGUAGAGGUGAAAGACAUUGAAACCUUCUAGCAAACAAUUGACGAUAUCUCUAAACAAAUUAAGUUCUUUGCAAGACAAAUUAGGUGCCAAUCUGCUGCAAUUGAGCACCAAAGCAAUCAAAAUAACAGCAAUCUCAAUUGCUAGGGUCAAAUAUCCUCUUAGUUUAUGUGAUAACAAGAACCAGUCAUUAUACCUGCAUACACAUUUCUAGCACAGAUCAUGCAACAAAAAGUGUUGCAGGCAAGAAUAAAAUGAAAAUCAAUAUACACACUUAUUUCUGCUCACCUUUGUCUGGAAGUUGACUUUUGGAGGCUUAAAUGGAUAGUCAGGUGGAAAAUGUAUCUUAACAAAGAACACUCCACCUGCAUAAGGACUGUCUGCAGGACCCAUGAUUGUUGCCUGCCAUUGGAAGAGAUCUUCCCCAACAGGUCCAGCACUGCAUGAUGUUGGAGGAUCCCUCUGCAAAUCCAUUAAUUCCUUCUGAAUCCGUUUGCUAGCCAUAGCGUCUUGUGAUUUUCUAAAAUAUGUCAGAAUAGGGAAUAUAUCCAUAAGCAAACAGAUUGUCUUUAAGGAAAAAAAAAAAAAUCUCCAGGAACAGAAUUUUGCAGAAAACUAAAAAGCAAGUGGACAGCUGAUGAAAAUAUAAGCCAAAACUUAACCACAAGGAAAUCCAAGAGAUGAGUUAAUUGAACACACCUUAACCUAUGCAAUAUCUUGCACAUAUUACACAAACAACAACAGACAGCAGACAAUUUAUGUUAGGCGUUUCCAAGAUAUAAAAGCAAGCAGUUCAUUUUUCAACUCGCCAUGUAUUAGAUAUGAGAGCUUUAUGAUAUACUUGCUAGAAGAAUCCUGGAAGUCAAAGAUAAGUAAUAUUGUUAAGUUUCCUCAAGUCAAAAGAUACACACAUAUUGAUGGUUAGGCCUUCUUCUGCCUAACUAAUGGUAUUUGCGACACAUAGAACACGACAGCAGGCAUUUCGAGUACCAUUAUACGCCAACACGCAAACAUCCAGGCCAUGCACAAACAAAAGAAAUACUACUGAUACAAAGAUUUAUGUCAAUGGCCAAUCGGAAAAAGCUCUUUUGUUGCAUGCCCAAGAUUUCUCAGAUGUCAAUGCGUCGGCUUUACAAGGUCACCAAUCACUAAACGCGCACAUCGACCAGAAACAUAUGUGGAUAGAAUAUGCUGAUUUUUAAGAACAAGGGAAUAACUAAUUUUGUCUACCCUUGGAUCACCUCUCUCUAUUCUGAUGUCAAAAGUUUCAGUAUUGGAUACAGAGGCUCAACAUGGCCCGUAACCUAUCUGGCCAUGAUGGUUCUACAAUUAUAUUCUGACCUGUUGGAAGAUUGUUAUGUAGUACUCCAGUUUAUAACAAAUCCGAUGGCGAGCUAGAAUCAUAGCUGCAGGCAAGCAACCAAUGCAUCAACUAGCUACCAAGGGAAAAAAGAGUCUGCUCACCAAGCAUGUUCCUAUACAUCAAAGUCAAGAACUCCACCCAGGUCCCAGGAAUACUAGAGCCACAUAUUUACCAGAAUAGGCCAUAUAACAAAAAUCUUUACAUCCGGGCAUCAUUCUUGAGCAAGAAAACCAAAACAUAAAAAAUGAAUAGGCGAUGUAACAAAAAACCGAUCUUUCGUUCUGAAAACUAAGUAAAACAAAGAAUAAACUUCAUAAAUGAGCAGGAAAUCAAAAAGCCCUUGUUCUCGAUGUAAAAGUCAACGAAAUCUUUCGCUCAUAUCCGUUUGAACCCGUGGAACACAGGGUUGGUAAGACGAUGAGCUACCACGAAACAGAUCAACGAGAUCUAACUGUUACCCAUGCGAAAAGCGGCGCAGAUACGGCAGGGAUCCAUCUCUGAGAUAGUUUGCCCAUCUAAACAAGAAAAUUCUUCGAAACAGGGGGGGAAAACAGGAAAAGCUCUACGGAAGAACAAAAUAACGUCUAUAGACCAUUAAAUUGUUCCGAUUCGAGAAGAAUUAAGCAGCGACCGUGAAGAAAAAAAGGAGGCGACCUGCUUACAGAUCGGAAGAGUUGGAUCGAUGCGAGCUCCACCGCCGGCUUUGACAAGGAACGAAAGAGGGAGAGAGAGAAGCGUGAAUAGGCGACGGCGGUAUAUGGAGAGCAGACGUCGUAUCAGGUCACCUCCCGGUCACCGUUAAGCACAAGAGAACCGUUAUUAUGUAUUAUACGGAUAAUAUCGGGUAAAUCUUAACGGUCAUUUAUGUUUUGUAACGGUAAAUGUGCGUUGGCAGUGACGGUAAUUGCCAAAUGUGAUGGUAUUUUUAUCUGGAUAACGUUGACAUGUGCAUGACACGAAUUGGAAUUUAACCGGCGAUUUUAAUCGUAGCUGCAUUCUUACGUCCUUCUGCGCUCGCGCGUACCUGCGUCACCUACCCGUUCCGCGAUUGGAAGGUUGCGUGGGACCUUAGCGAUAAGGUCGGUCAACGGCCAAUAUAUAUAUAUAUAUCGGUACUCGUUCCCAUGACACCCGCAUGCCGAUUCUCUUGUAAACGGCGGGUCCCACACGAGCAAUCUCCCGAUGAAGCACUCAGGAGAGAUGGUGAGGCGAGAAAGAAGUACAAUUGCUCCAUCACACGUAUCACUAAGGUGUACAGGAAGUCUCAAGGCAUACGAGUACAGAAUACAAGGCACCAGUGCAUGAGCGUACCUAUACAUGCAUUGCAGAGACAAAACUUGAUUCCUGUCAUUGUCCACUCAAUUCAUCAGCGACAGUAAACUUCUUUGGCUUUCGACCGAACCAACGAAACAAAGUAGGGUAUAUAUACUUGGAGUUGGUUUAUGCUUAUGCCCACAGAGGAAGUUCCAUUUCUUGCCGCAACAGGGAACAUUUUGCUUACGUUGUGCACCAAAAAACAAUGCCAUCGGCAUGUAGUCCCCUCGCCGGAGUCGUCUCCGGCACCGAGGCUCAACAAAACAUUCUCUUCUGAAUCAACAAAAAAGCAAGCUAAUCAUCAGAGAACAAAAUUUUAGACGGAUAUUUUGAGUUUAAGUUGGAAAAUUAGCUCUCACAUUUCAUCUCAAGUAUAAGAGGAUGAUAUGGGAAAAACUUAGCUAAUCAUCGAAGAGUAGUGUCGAUGACAUGCAUCAAAUUUAUGGAUGAUACCACCAUACAUAUUGAACUAUUAUCACAAAUAAAUUGGUUGAUAAAAAUGUGCAGCUCCAUAUAACCAAUUGAACUCAAGUCAGGCACUGAUAAUUUGAUUAAAAUCUUAAAAAUUUUGUGAGUUGACUGUGACUGUGUUUAACAGGGACCUAAAAUGAGAAAGUUUUAUAUGAUUUGCACUUUAAGCGAAAUAAAAUAUAUAACAAGAUUUUACCUCAAGUUUCAAGUCCUGCAAUGCAUCUAACGACUCGGCAAAUUCCAGUUGCUUCAUGACCGUGGCAUGCAAUACCUGAAACAGAUAUAAUAUUAGAGAUGCACUGACAAAACCAGGAAUCAUAAACCCCUACACAGAGCAGCAAGGUAAUGAGUGCCAAAUGCUACAACUUUGACAUGGCUUGAAACUAACAAGGUUCCUAAACUUUAAAAGUUCAAGCUGAAUAUAUUAGAUCCAAAUAAGAAGCCUAAUAGACUCUCGUAGUUAAUGCUAUACAACAUAAUAGACUGUCAAGGAUGCCAAAUAGGAGAGAGAUACGAAAGAUAAAAAUCUCUUCCUAGAAAGGAAUACCAAGUGAAUAAUGAACCCAACAUCUAAGCAUGUCUGCCCACAACUAGUUAGCUCUUCAGAAAAGAUCCUUCGGUGACAGAAAUUCUCUUUCAAAUGUUUGCCAUUGAUACUUUUAUGAAACAGCAAUUCCAAUAAAGCAUAGACAAAGACAAAGGAUCUGAGAGAAUUAAGGAUAUGCGAAUUCACAAAAGGUAGUUUUCCUGUACAUGAAAUAAUUUGAUCCUUAUUUAUCAUAUAGCAGAAAAUGUCAUUAAAAUAUAUAACAAGUGCUAAAAUCAAUUGGACAGAAGCCCUAAUUUAUUCAUUGAGAAAAAAACUUUUGAUAGCAAGUUGUUCCAAGCAUAGAUACAAAGAAAAAGGGAGAAGAUUAUAUAUACAACAAAGACAUGAUUCCUAUCUUGAAUAUACUAAUAUAACAGUAUUAUGGAGGUAGAUAGCAGGAUGAUAUAAACUUACCCUUUUGGUCUUUUCUAGAUCAAACUCAACAUGCUUUAUUCGAUCCCAUGAUUCAAGUAGCAUAUGCUCUUUCUCCGAAGGAAUCUCAGCAGGCUUCUUGGUGAGCUCAUCAAACAUCAUUUCUAGCCUUUUAAUCCGCUCCAAACAAGGACCCAAAUGAUCUUCAAGGUUUUUCACUGUUGAACUGUGCUGGACAGCCAAAUUCUGAGCGUCUGAAGUACGGAUGUUGCUCAAUUUUCUCUUUCUAAAACCAUCAACGUGAAAGAAUAAUAGAAUUUUGACUAAGGAAGCUAUUAAUACUCUUGAAAACAACUGAAAAAUCCCUUCUCCUGUAUCCUCCUUGGUGACAGGGUGACUUGCCAUGCUCAAACUAUCUGAGAACAACAAAUACAAAUCAAGACUUUUGAAGACUAAGAGAUGAGAAUUUGUUGCCUAAACAAAAGGAAGAUUCUCUAUUGGAACAACCCAGCUUGCAAUACCAUGUUGAUUCGAUGUUGAAAAGCCAUACGAUCUCUGUUCCUCGUAUUUUAUAUCUUUUGUCUUUUCAUAAGAUUGUUCUCCUCUUCUAACACAAUCCAUAGCCUUGUCGACCACAACAAAGUGUUCAUCACAACUAUAGUAAGCUGUUGAAUCUCUUGCUCUGAUCUGCAUUUAUCAUCAAGAAACAAUGGCAUGGAGCAGUUGUGAUAUAUCCCAAGGGGAACAAAAAUCAUCAUCAAAUAAACUAAUAUUAUCUACCCUAUCUUUUUAAGAUAGUGAUUAACAUGCAUUCACAAGAACACCAUAGUUGUGAUGACCACUUUCUCAUCAUUCUCACUAAAAGAAUUAAUUAGGAUAUAAAACAAUUAGACGCAAACAAGGAUACAAGAAAAUGAAAAAGAAACCAUAAAUGACCUUUUUAGCAAAUUUGAAAGACAGAAAUUGACAGUUUAGAGAGUGAUUUACUAAUGUAAGCACCUCCAGAAUUUAGUUGUUUUUUUUCAAAGGUUAUUGUGAAAAGAAGAUAUUAGCAUAUAAAAUUAGCAUAUAUUGUAUGGAAGAUGGUUUGUGCAUAAACAAACCCUCUCCUCUUUUUCUUUUUGGUCCCGUUUCCAUAUUCAAAUUACAAGGGUAGAAUCCUUAAUUUUAAAGGAUUUAUCAGGAAAUUCUUUCAAUUUCUGAGCAAUGGGAAAAAAUUCAUUCUGAAAUAUCUCUAGUAUCAUGUAUCAUACAUAGCAUAAUAGAAAAGAAAAGAUGGCAUUAGGUAAUUAUUUGUUGAAAGGAUAAAACAUUUUGCUCAUGCUGCCCCUUUCAGAUCACUUAUUUCAGUUAGCUUUUCAAAUGAACACUACAUCAAGGUUGUUGACGAUAGAUUUUACAGAACCAUUAGAAUUUUCACUGGAAAAUUGAGAACUGCACUAUAACAAAAUAAAACACAACAUGAGGUCUUCAAAACCAGGAGAGUGAAGAAAUCUCACUUCUUCACGUACUGGAGCUAAACGGCUAUGCUCAACAGGUUUGAAAACAAGAUCAUCAACAUCUGAUCCAGAUUCAAGUGUCCAUGUAUCGCUACUUCUUCCCUGACAAUAACACAGACUCAAAUAUUUUACAGGAAGAUCAUUGCAUAAUGUAACUGCAAAAAGAUAGGAAUAAAAAAGAUAGAACAGAUGAAAAAAACACUUACCUUCAAAAAAUAUGACCCUACAAAAGCUUCAUCUCCACCUGACAUUCGUCUAGUAUGCCUUAGUGAAUCUGCUUCAGCAUUAUAUUCAAGCUAAAAUUUGAAAGAUAUUGGUAAGAACUUUUCCCCUGUUUUUCUUGUUUGAUAGACGUAAAAUAAAAAAAAGCAAAUCCCUUCUGGUAUCAAGGUAUUCAUCCAAACAGGACAUUAUCACAUAAAGGAGGAUAUAUCUUUUAGAAUUGCUAAUUCAAGUUCGAUUACAAAACAGGUGACACUUCGAGCAUGAAAUCCUGAAAUGUUCAAGACAAAUGGUUUCAUGCUUAAAGAAGACUAAGCGGAAAACCCAGUUUGGCUAAUUGUAUUCCUUGAACAAAAGGAAGCAUCAAUUCAUGGGACACAAUGAAUGGAAUAAGAAAACUAUCACUCAAUCAGUUCAUCCUCGUGGGAUCAAAACUUUCAAAUAGAAUAGUUGGUUGCUCUAUUAGUUGAUCAAACCUAACCUAGUGGAAUGACGGUGAACAAAUGGGAAUGUAAAUGCUUACUUCAGUUAAGUGAACGAAUUGUACCUUCAUAAUGUUAGGAUCAUUCCAUGGUCCUUUAUUAGACUUCAAACACCCGCCUUCAACAGAGCAUGUACAUGUACCACCCAAAAAAUCUGGAAGUUGGCUGAAAUGUGACAAACAUAUAUAAGUUACUAAACCAUAAAAAAAGAACCACCAUCAAAAUCGACAUCAAUAUCAAUAUCAAUAUCAAUAUCAAGAGAGUAUAAUAUGCCCUUAACCUUGAGUCAAUGAUUUCAAGUAAUGCACUCUGAUAUUUUGUUCCCAAUACCUGCAUGAUAAAAUAUUUAUUCAUGUAUAUUGUGGUCCAAAUACCGGCAAAACAAAUCCCUUUGCAUGUCAGGACACUUACAUGUAUCUUUGCUGUUGUUUUUGGGUCAAGAAAACCCUUUACAGUGUUCCAGAGAAGCCUAAAGCCAUGACCAGCAUUGACAAUAAACAUCUGAUGUAGAGUCUGCAUUUUAACAAGUGGGGUAUCUCUAUCUUAAUACAAAUGAAUAAAAAUAAUGCAAUGUUAUUAGGAUAAAGUCAAGUACCUCAGGGUAGUAAUCUCCAUCAAUUUUUUGCAUUUUAAGCAAGAGGUCUCUUGCUGUUUUGCCGAAAUUCUUCAAACCCUGCACCAAAGAGAACGCAUACUGAUUCAGAGAAAUCAACCCGAACGGCUUCUCACUUCCAGCACCUUGAACAUCUCAGUAUUUUAUAUAAACAACAAUAUAUCUUCAUCACAGUCUGCUUAAACAAGUCAAAUCUGGAAAGGAACCACAUACCACCCCAUGCACAUCCAAAAUAGUCGUGGUUGAGUCAAUGUGCCUUUUUGCUGCAAUCGAACAAGCCGGAAACUUUUCAUGUAGAGCUUUCUCAAACUCCUGGACAUGAAAUUUUAUGUACCGUUCUACUGUAGUGAUGUGCAUAAGCUUAUUCGGCUCUACUUUCCCAAGCCUCUCAAUGUAAACAGGUCUUCCCUCUUUAUCAACUCCAUGGUAGCCCUGAGGAUAAUGCUGUAAAACUUCUUCCAGCUCCUCAAAGUUAAAAUCCUUGCAUCCAGUAGUGUUGGGCAUUGUAUAUGUCAGCAUUCACUGAUAUAAUUAUCAUCUAGCUUAACAGAACACGUGACCUUCUAGAUAAUAAUUCUUAACAUAAUUGAAAAAUAUAAUAGAAUUCCAAAAAGACAACUGAAGGAAUAAAAUAUGGGUAUCUGAACCAAGAACAGUCUGCAAUAAAAGUUAAACGACAAAAGGAAAAUGGAGGUUAUUCAUAUGUGCAGGAUCCAUAAGGGAAAAACAAGAAAAGUAGAACAUUACAAACAAUAGUUUCAUCAGCUAGUAUGGUUGCAAGGUUCAAAAUGCUGACACGAUUGUCAUCAAUUUGGCUUCCAACUUGUGCCCAUAAGAAAAGCAUUUCUAUGUGGGUUUUAUAGUACUAUAACUUUUGCAACCUAAAGGAUGUUUUCCAAGAUCUGCAGAGUAUCAUAAUAUAUUCUUCAAUAAUUUCAAAAUCAUCUAAACUCAUAUAUCUAGUUCCAAGAGUAGAAGAUCAAUGUCUAUAUGAGCGCUAAUUUGGCAGUAACUUUUGCGUAAGCAAAAGGAGAUAAUUCAAAUUACAUGUUAAAAGGUAAAAUUGAUGAAUGAAAAUUCCCUAAAAAGGAACUUCAAUUAAUCUAUACAAAAAAAAAGUUCAAAUAAUCAGUGUUAUGACCCAACUGAUUGGAAAAAAUGAUCAUUCAAGUGCAUGAAAAAUGCAUGCGAAUGAGAAAGUAAUGAGCAGUUUCAUUUCACGAUAAAAAACAGCCUGGAAUAAUCUAAUUCAAACAUGAAUUCCUCUUGUUUUUCUUUUAUGUUAAAAUUAUCUCAAUGCAAUUUUGUUGGAUCUCAACUAGUCUUGUGGCACUAAAAUCUCUCAGAGUCAUUGCAAGGCAAGACACUCUUGGCACAAUAACAGGGAAGAACAACAUGACCCACACUAAUAUGGGGUAUGUGUGCGGUUAAGUUAUACUGUGUUUACUCCUGCAAGCAUAAACUCUGGUCACCCAGGUUGUGAAGAAGCAACCUUACCCAGGUCACCCAGUACACAAGUGGCAAAAUAUGAACCUCAAAAUAGCAUCUGAACUGAACCUAUUUAAAUAUGACAAACUUUUUUUCUUUUGAAAAAUCAGCAGCGAAUAGAUAUCUGAUAUGACUAUCUUUAGUUGCACAUACGAUAUCUAACUAGCUUAUUAUGGCAACAUACCUCCAAAAUUGUGUCUGUUCCAAAUUCUUUUCUCCAAUGAAGCAUAUCAGCCCACAUUUGAACUGCUUUCUCAUGCUCAAAUUUUCUCGCUUUCAAAAAUCUGCAUCAUGUAAGUUUGUCGGUAAGCAAUCAGGAAAACCAAAUACUGAAAAAGCAAGUUACCUAGAAAAACGAGCCAUACAGAGUUACAUUCUGGAAGCGCAUAUAUUCUUCAAUAAAAUGCAUCGACCCAAUUGGAUCAAAAAUGCUUGCAGUUGGCUUAAUACAGUUUUAAGUUAAAUCCAACUAAUUAAAGAUAUUCAUAGCAUGCUCAAGUACAGAUUGUGACAGUUCAGGCAGCUAAUAAGCCCAACAAAAAGUUUUUACAAAAGCACAAAUACUAUAACCAAAAUCACAAUUUCUGAUGGUGAAAAACAACCUGAGCAUCAUAUGAUAGUCAUCGUGUUUAUCAGGCAAUAAGUCCCUGGAAAUUAGCUCCUUACGGAAUGCAUAGACUGCCCGUUCCUCUUCCACAUCCCUGACAUCCUCAAUUGACACUGAAGAAGUCCUAUGGACACUUCUCCUCUUCCCUCGUUUCCUGAGAGAGUGGGUGAAUCGUGAAGAAGCAUUUAAUGCCUUUUUCUUUAGAGACCCGAUGGUCAAUCUUCUUCUUUCAUCUUCCGAACUCUCCACAUCUGAUCUCUUUCCUUUUCUCUCCUCCCAAGCGUGCAGCCCUUCAAGACCUUCAACAUGACAAACAGCAAUAAGGUGGGUCUCUAGCAGCAUUUCAUAAUCCGAAGAAACACAGAGACGUGAAUUAGAACAGCCGUACCAGUCAUUUUCGGGCAGCAGAGGCGGGACUCUGGUUGACCUUACCCUUAUGAAGAGAUGGUCGUGGCGUAAAUUAUGCAAAUAGAGAUCUUUAUAGAUCACCAGGAGCCUACGCCUCCAUCUAGUUAGGAUCAGAGACAAAACAACACAGGAGAGAAUUAAGUGUCAUUACCGAAAGUCUCUGCACAUAUUAGCCAAGACAAAAUUUAUGCAACUUUUGCAGGAGCUAUUACCAAAACAAAAACAAUAAAGAAGAGAAAACAAUUACUAUUGUUGCCGACAAACUUGCAAUUCAUCAGAACUAUUGCAACUCUCAUCACCCCCUACUCGUUUCUAAUUGAGCGGAUGAAAUCAUGAAACUGUGGACUGAUUCAUCCUGUAGCUUUAAAACUAAGUAACUUGGAAAAAACAGAAGAAAAUGCAAGUUGAGGUAGGAGAACCUAAUCGCCUCGCCAAGUCCAUCAACAAAUCAACAACUUUAAGACGCCAUUAGUAAAGUAAGGAAAAACAGUACUUCUUUAAAGACAGCUAAAAAGAAAGAGACGACAGGUUAACGAUCUUCACUUGUUCACAUUCACAGAGUACCUACUCUCAAGAAGAAGUCAUCGAUUCCACAUCAAAUUCUCCUUCGGAAAGAGCAAUCAAGAAACCGUCAGAGAAUUCCCUCAUUCGAUGCAAAUCACGCAUCCCAAGUCCAGAGAAGAUUGUGGAGAGAGAGAAGUACCCUCUUGCGGCGAGGAGAGGGCGAUCCUUCGUCGCCGCCGAUCUCCAAAUCUAGAUCAGUAAGACAGAUCACAAGAUUCCCCACACCGAUGGAAUCGAAUAGGAAACCGGGAAUCCUCACUCCCAAUGGAACCUGUUCUUCUUGCAAUUGGGAUCGGGACCGAAACACAAAGGCGGGUUUUAACGGCGAUAAGAAUCCACCAAGAAGGAAAACUAAAACCCAAAUACACGAAAUGAAUCGGAAGAUCCGCGGACUCCGCUCGCGCUCUCUCUCGUGGUGGUGGUAAGAGGAUGGAGUCAAUGCGAAGCGUGCAAAAGGAUCGCUUUCGGCUGUAUCUCGAGGUGGACUCCGGUGAAAAGAACAGAUCGGCGAUUCUUGGAAAAGACUACGGCGCGAGAUUCUUUUUCCUUUCCUUUUCUUCCAAUUGCUUUGGCGACUUUUAAGGCACAGCGCCGCGUUUGACUUGGCUCGAGAAAUGGAACGAAUAAGCGACUCUUGCGUUCAAUAACAUUAAUAUAAUAUUUCUAAUUAAUAUUAUUAAGUGAUCGGAACUUUAUCUAUUGAUAUAUACAAAUAAAUAUUUAGAGAUAUUUUUUACCGGUAUAUGUAAUAUUAUUUUUCUAUCGGCGUGCGACGAGGAAACGGGGACUUGCUUCUCUCAUCGGCGUGGGACGAGGAAACGGGACCCAGGCGCGCGUGCUGUGGCCCCUGGUCGAAGAGACGUCGGCACGCUUUCCCUCCCGUUGGAAUGCGGAUAGGCUGUCUCGCCCAAGGCAGGAUUCCGGAGGAAGAAUCCCACCGCACUGGGAGCGCGGAGCAACGCAGCAUUCGCAGCGUCGGGAUGCGUAGAUCUUCCCGUACGCUGUUCGCACGCUUCCUUGCGUUCCGUUCGUCAGCCAAGGCGCGCUUUUUAACGACCACCAACACUCGAAUGCCAUCACCACUCACGCGCCCUUGGCCUGCUCCCACUCGCCGAUUAAAUCGUCACCCGAUCUACGAAGCCUCGUUGCCGCCACCGUGAAAUUAUUCACCAAUUCGUUUCGAGACCUACCCGGUCCCCGGGACUUACCAUACGCGGGCGCCACCUGGGGGGCCCUCGC
rnacentral:lncRNA from 1 species